AGAUUACUGGUAUUUAAUUCAUGGAAUGGGUCACUGCUAGUUCCUUCAUGGAAAGGGUCAUUACUAGUUCCUUCAUCAAAUCUUUCUAUACCUCUAUACAAGUUCACUGGCUCACCAUGAUACACCUAAAAUGUGUAGGAUGGACAUAUUCCAUUCGUUAAUAAAUGUCUCUCUAUACUCUCUAAUGAGUCCAAAGUAGAGUGUAUACAUCUCUUGCAUGGACACCUUAUCCGUCUGUACUCAUCAACGUGAUACUUGGCAACUGUUAUAAAUUGGAAAACUCCCCCUCUAUAGUAAACCGAUAACUUAUCCCUAAGUUUCAUCGAAUUCUUGUCCAUCGAUAAAGACCUAGAACAUACAUACGUGACAUUAGUCUUACAUUUCUUUCUCUCAAAUGCUAAAUUUUGUCCAUGAAUAAGUCACACCUCACAAGUAUCCAAUAUCCAAACUUUCACUUUAUCUAAGUUUAAACUGAAAAAUCUAUCUAACACUUCCAACUAACCAACUAACAAGGUUUUAGUAACAAUCUAACAGUUCAAACAAAUUAUCAUAAACUAAGGGCUAAGAUAAAUCUAAAUAAAUAUAACAAUUUCAAUUUAACUUAUUCAUAUAUACAACAAUUUCAAUGUAUAAUUUAAUUAUAAUAAACAUACAUACAAACAACAAUUUCAAUUUAUAAUUUAUAAUAACCAUACAAACAAAUAACAAUUUAAAUUUAUAAUUCAUAAUAAACAUGCAUAGCUAGAGAUAACAAUAAUUAUUUAUAAUACAAAUAGAUACGAUAUACAAUUUACAAAUUAUAACAUAAAUAGAAUAUUAUACAAUUUUAAUUUAAAAAUCUACCAAUAAACACAUAUAUAAUAAUAAUUUCAAUUUCAAUAUACAUAUAUAACUUUACAAAUAUAUACAUAUACAAGUUACAAAUAUAUACAUAUACAAGUUACAGAUAUAUACAUACACAAUUUACAUAUACAACUUACAAAUAUAUUCAUAUACAAUUUACACAUACAUAAUGCACAUAUACGUAUACCAUAAACAUACAAACCCUAAACCCUACAAACCCUAACCCUAAACAUACAAUACAUAUACAUUACUACACAAUCUCUAAACCUUAAACAUACAUACAAUUUACAGUAUAUAUAUAUACAUACAAAAGUACACAAUUCCCUUAAACCUUAAACAUACAAUUCACAUACAAUAUCCAUAUAAUACACAUAUAAUAUCUAACAUAUACAAAAUAUCAUUUGUUUACCGGCUGGAGGUCAGUGGGCGCGAUGGCGGCAAGGAUGUGGCAAGGCUCUCCCUCUCCCUCUCUCUCUUUCGUCUUUUGUCUUUCCUUUUACUUUUUUGUUCUCUACCUUUCUGUGUUCAAAUGAACACAAUAAAUGAACCAAAGUUCUCACAAUGCACAACAAAAGUGUCGCGAGAACAAGCUUCUAACGAUGAAACCACUUAUGACAUCAUUAGAAGCCACUUGUCGACUAAGCUACUUAUGACAUUAACAUUUCUCCAUCAAAUCAAUUGGAAUGUCUUUCAGUCAUUCUGGCGAAAGGUGAAACCUUUAUCGAUGUGGUUGACCGCGUCGCCACUGACGUCAUCAUAGCUCUCUAAUUUUAAUAAUAUGUUACGCUUGUUGAAGCCGUUUCUACUAACGCUGUCGUUGGGGGAGAAACAUCAAUGCAGGCUUGCAUGGAAUCGUUAUAAGCUAGAAUAAUAUGUUUUAAUAUCGACUAUCAACAACGUCAUCAAGGUGCUAUGUCGUUAUUUCCCCUACUGUCGAUGCGGUGGUAACAACGCUCCCACAAAGUCAUCUAUUUUGAAGCAUUUGCCUCUAUAAGGAUAAUCUCAAAUUCUUGUAGUGAGAUUCAGAGCCAUCAAACUACAUGAUUUUUUCUUUCUCUAAUCUAUAAUUUUAAAGCAUGAUUAGCCUCAAGUAGAAAAUUUUUAAUGUAACUAUUGCCAAUGUACAAUAUUUUUAAGUUCCCCAUUAAGUUGAUCUAAGAUCUCAAUAAAAUCUUUUGAUGCCAAGGGCUUUAAUCCUUUCAAAUCCUUCACAGGUUAUUCGUAACCUCAACUAGUUUAAAAUACUGUUUUAUUCUUGAGACUACAUCUUGCUCCUUAAGUCCAUUGAUCCACUAUUAAACAAAUGGUUUAAGGUCAGUGAGAGGGUGGAGCCCCUUGUUCAAGACUUGGAUUCGACCCUUAAGAGAACAACCUAUCUACUAACCCUAAAGCGGAUAUGAGUGAAUUCUUUCUUGCACCUUAUGUUCCUAGCCUUCCAUCUGAUCUAACCCCUAAAACGGGAGGCUUAUUGGAUAAUAGUUAUUGAGUUACUGAUAACUGUAGAAAUAAAGGUUAUUGUAGCCUCUUUUAUAGAAUAAUGAGGCCAAAAUAUAGAAUAAGCGUAUCAAAAUGUGUAUAUUGUUUUAAAAACGCAUAAGUACUUAGAAAUAUACUUUACAUAAGCGUUAUGCCUAUUUUACACAAUUUUUAGUGUCUAAAUACAUAGCUAUGAACAAGAAAAGAAGAUAACAAAUUUCAAAGUCUUUCGCAAGAAGAAUAGGUGAGAAGACCAAAUCACAACGUGAGAAGCGAUUUGAAUAGACAAGAAUAGUAGUUGGAGAUGAUGUAACAUGUCACAGACAACUUUCAACGUACAGUGCUGAAAUGUUCAGAAGAAUAAAAGUUUCAGUGCCAACAACUACCUAUAAAAAGUCUCAUUCUUCACCAAAGAAAGGAGAGGCCUGCAUGGGCCAUAAAAGAGACCUGUAUGGGCCAUAUGAGAGGUCCGGAUGAAUCAAUAGGUGAAAAACCUAGAGCGAGAAAAGCGAAAAGGAUUAGCCUUUCAAUCGUUUGUAAACAUUUUCUUUUUCUUCUUCUAUCAUACUGGAAGCGAGAGCUUAGAGUCUAAGUGGUGAACGUUUUAUUUCCUAUUCUCUCUAACUUGUAUUUAUUCUCAUUCUUCUAUCUUUCAUUUUUGUAUUCUUUGUGUAAUAUUUAUAUUGUUCAUAUUGUACAAUGGUCGAAGGUCUACAUUCUCUUUAAUAUAUAUUACAUGAUUUUGCCUUUUCAAUCCAUCAUUUUUUUACUUUUCACUUGUCAAUGUGUUAUUGGUAGUUAGGUUUGUGCUAAGAUUUUGAUAGAAAAAGUGCAACUUAUAAUGCUUGUCGUGUUAGUUGAGUCAUGUUCAUUGCUUUGUGAGUGUCAAUCGCCAACUACCCGAGAGGACAAGUAGCAAGGAUAAGACUAAUGCGUGUAGGGAGAAGUUUCGACAAAAUUCUACCUUAGCGAGAUACCUCCCAUCAUUUGUAUCUUGAAAGGUUUACUAGUGUGGAUAUUAGGUGCCAAGAGGUUGCUAUCCUUAAUCGUGAAGUUCUAUAACUAUCAUAAGUGAACACUUCUGGAUACACCUCACCUAAUCAUGCUUAGUCACUGGGAUCCCGGAAGGUGAACAAGUAUGGUGUUUAAAGACUUCAAGAGAAACUCGACUUAAUCAUAAGCUAGUUUAGCUAGUUGUAUCACAUCAAGACUCUCGCAUGGCUUAAUCGCAUAAUAAUGCAUAGACUUUCCUUCAUGUCCUUCUUGCAUACAAGUUAGCAUGCAUCUCCAUUAUGUAUCCAUCUAGUCCCCCUUUACAAAUUUUCUAGGCAUACAUAAGUAGGUUUAGUCUAGUUCUAAAUCUUUUAUACUUUAUUCAUUUAAUUAUUUUAUAUUACCGAAUUGAUGAGUAGAUCCUAAAACUGAGUUUUGAUAUCAAGUCCUUGUGUUUGACUCUGGAUCAUUAAGAUAAACCUAUUUUUUCGCUUAUACUUGGGCAAUAAGUAGGAAAUUUGUAUUCGACAAGGACUUAGUGGUUACACGAUUAAGAGGUACAUAACGAGUACUUCACUUACAGUGAUCAUGACCAAUGACUUAUCACAUAGAAUUAAUUGUGCAACAUUACAAUACCACCCUAAGUCCAAACCAACACACCGAGUUGUCCUCACCUUUGUAGAUCUAAAGAUAAUUUCGUGUGAACAGAAGUUCAUAGUUACCUCAAGAUUAAGAAUAAGUUAUCUAGGUCAUCAAUAAUCGAAAUAAUAUAUUUUAUACAAUCAACGGUGUUAUAACUUAAAAGUGACUAUUUCAUGGUUCCAGUCUUAUGUAAACUCUUUACGUAGGAUGCCCCCCACUUUUAUAUCUCUACAUAGAUGAUUCAGGAUCACAUCAUUUGUACUAACUACAAGUGGGCCGCAUCCAUAGUGUCCCCAAAAUAAGACACCCAACCUUAUUCAUACACUAUAGACCAUUUGGGCUAUAUACUCAAAUUAGAUCCACGUUUAUGUCUACACUAGAUAGCAUUGAGACCUUAGUUUAUUGGAUUCAAGAUUAUAGUAUUCUAUUUUCACUAAUAAGUCCUCAAUAACCACUUAUUGAGCAUAAUAUAAUUUUGAACUACAAAUUACUAGUUUUAGGAUAUAAAUUUCAACAUAUAUAAAGGAUACCAUGACUGCAUGAUAGCUAGAACCAACCAUUUGAAAUAAAUUUAUCAAUCCUCAAUAAAAAAAAAGAAUUAGAAAUUUAAAAAAUAGGUACAUUAAGUUCAAGGUUCUCUUUGUGCUCUAGUCACCACUUUAAUCAUUUUUAUCAUUUCUUCCAUUUGUAAGGCAUGCAUCUCCCAUGUUUUUCUUUGUUCUUCAAGCAUACACCUUUUUCUUCAAUCAUAUUUUUUUGUUCUUCAAUUUGAUUUUUUGUUCGUAAAUCUGAGAUUGCGAGCUCUCAUGGCUAUUUAAUUUCUUAGGUCCAUCACCUUUCUAGCUUACAUUUCUUGAGCCACCGAACUUGACGCACUGCUACCACCCUUUCUUGACUUGGGUAGGGGCCCAAUCAAGACCUUUUCUAUAGCCCGAUUAUCUACCCAACAUUGUCUCGCAUAUGUCGUCCCUUAAGAGUGGUUGAUAACUUGUAUAAAUUCAAGUUAUUAUAACAUGUUAGUUUAGUCAAAACGAAAGACGAAUGGUCAAACGGGUAGCUUUUAGUGCAAAAUUGUAAUAUCAUGAGAAUGCAUCUUGCAUAAGUCUUAACACUUGAUAAAUGUGCUUUUAAGUGUUUUCCAUGCAGGAUGGAGUAAAGAAGAAAGGAAGCGAGGAUCGAGCAUUAACUCAAUAAGAAGAAGACUGUCAGUUCACGAGUUGAAAGGCGAGGUACAAGCACAUCACUACGCGAGAAGACAAGGAUAGUAGUUGAGAUUGAUGUAACAAAAGACGACUACUUUCUGUGCUGACACUUGUAGACAAGGACAAUUGGUAGUCCAGCCAAGGACGGAUGUGCAACAUGAACAUUUAAGUUUCCGCCUAAAGUAUGAUUAUAGAAAAAAGCCCAACUUCACCAAGAAGAAAAGAGAGAGAGGAGGUCAUCCCUUAAAAAGCCGGUAACAGAUGAGUUUUAGAGUCCUUCACCAUUUGUAGUAGUGUUCUUCCUCCAUCCUUUCUCCGAUCAAUAUCUGAGUGAGAGCUUAGAGAGAGGUUAAAGAGAGAGAAGUCCCAUUAUCAUUUCCCCUAACUUGUAAAAGAGCCAAGGAAUGCAACUCAUUGCAUGGCUUGCAUUCUGUAGCUCAAUACAUUUCUUUUCUUUCUAUCUUUGUACUUUUUGAUGUAUUGUAUGAAUAUUCUUUAUUUUAUGAUCGAAAGGCCUACAUUUAUAAUACAAUGCAUUUUUAUCUACUGUAUCCCUUCCAUUUUUUAUUACUUUCCAUUUCGUUGAUGUAUUUUAAGUAGUUUAAGUUCAUGUUAUGUACUUGAUAAAGACUCCUUAGUUAUAAGUUUUAUCAUGUUUAGUUGAGCUUAACUCAAUCACUUGAAUAGCGUUGGUCGCCAAUAGCUCGAGACAGUAAGUAGCAAGGACAUAGCUAAACAUGCGUAGAAGGGAGUUUGUACAAACUCCGUUCUAGCAUUUUGACUCCAAUAAUUUGUGUCCCAAAAGGAGAACAUGUGUGGUAUUUAGGCACCGAGAGGUUGCUCGCCUUAAGUAGAGAGCGAAAUAUGAUGCUUAUAAAUAAAGAAGCCUAGAUGUAUAUCGCUUGAUUUAUCUUUACUAUUUAUGUCCCAAAAGAAGAACAAGUGUGUUGUUUAGGCAUCAAGCGGUUGCUCACCUUAAAUAUAAGAUGCUUAAUUGAUCUGCAUCGCAUCAAGACAUGCCGUAUAACUUAGACUCCCUAGAAUACUAAGAUAUUCCUUUACCUCUUUUAAUCCAAGUUAGUUCACAUUCCAUCAUCACCCCAUUCCAUCCCCCUACAAAAUCCUCUGUGUACAUAAGUAGAUUAGUAUAGUUUCAUACUUUGAUAUUGUUUGUUGAAUGAUUAUUUAGUGCAUUGAAGUUGCUAAGAUGUCACAUUUUUUCUAAAGCUGCAUUGUUAAAAUUCUAGAGAUUAAAUGAUUUAUUUUGAUAUUGUUUGUAGAAUGAUUGAAGUUAUAUCAUGUUGAAAGCUAAAUGAUUGUAGUGAUAGCUAAGCAAUUGUUGAAGAUUAAAGACUGGGAAAUGUGUUUAUGAUUUCUUAUUUAAGUCUUGUAUUAGGAUUUUUUCCUCAUGUAUUAUUGUACAAUGUAUAUACAAACACAAUAUUAAGAUUUUAUUUUGUGUAUACAAAUGUAAAAUAAAAAUAUUGUAGUUUCUAAAAUAAUAUUAAUUUCUAAAAUAAACCCAAUGUCGAUUUAUAAAAAAUGGACAAUAAAGCAAUAAUUAAAUAAAAAUAAAUUUAUAAAAGUAUAUCAAAAAACAAGGCUUUAAUGUCGAUUUUAAAACGACAUCAAAGGCCAAAUGACACUAAAGAUCUUCGAUAACACCAUAAAAAAUGUAUGUUUAAAAACGAAAUUAAUGAGGUUUUUAAUGUCAUUUUUAAACCGACAUCAAAGCAUAAAUGACAUUAAAGGCCUUCAAUAACGCUAGCAUAGAUGUUGGUUGCCAACCGGCACUAAAUGUCAUUAAUGUCGGUUUUAAACAGACAUUAAAGGCUAGAUUUCUUCUAGUGAGGAUAUGGGUCACCAGUAAAAGGGCCAGUGAACACUUGAGGUAUGUACUUUUCAACAUUUACAGAUGAUGGAAAUGUUAUUCCUUUCCGUCACUCUUUCGGACUUGCGCCUAUUCAGGCGCCCCUUUUAUAGGUUGAUGGAGAUGACUUUAUAUAGGCAGCAAUUGGGAGGGAACUUCUAUCUUCUAAACUUGUCAACGACAGCUGCCAAAAGGUGUCUAUUACACGUCACAUCAUCUCCAACUACUGCUCUUGUCUUCUAGUGACCAUUCUUAGCAUUAUAACUUUGUUCCUUGCCUAGAGACGUUACUCGCCAGAUGAGUUCUUGGUUGUAGUCCUUGCACGAAAUGCUUCCUACGGUUCACUAGUAUCUUUCUUUAUUCAUUAUCCUGCGUUUAGACAUUAAAAUAACGUGAAACAGACAUAACAUUUAUGUGAAGUAUAUUUCCAAGUACUUAUGCGUUUACACCACAAGUUAUGCGUUCUGAUUAUCUUCUUGUGCGUUUUAACCUCAUUAUUCUAAUACAAUGAACUAUAAUAACAAGUAUUUAUAGACACUAUCAGUUGCUUAUCUAGAACUUUUGUAAACCCCAUUGGAUUAAAUGAAUUAUUAUAUUUUGUAGAUGGUUUGUAAUAUUCCUAAUUAGACCAUUCGUUAAUGCAGCUUAAAUCAAAAUUAUUGUUAUUGAAUGUUAAAUUUUCUACUUUUUACAUUAUUGUCAUGAAAAUCAAUAGAGUAAAUAAAUUGAAUCAGAGAUAUAAAAUUCGAAAAAACAUUUCAAUUUAAUAAUUGAUACAUGAUAAAAUUUAGGAUGUACAAUUCACAAAAAAAAAAAAAAAAAAAAAAAAAAACUAAACAAACUAGCUAAACUCCAAAAUGUAAAACCAACAUCCCAAGCACAGGCAUCAGAAACUCAAAUUUCCAAAUCCUACACUCUAAAGACAAGUGAUAACUUGUAGAAAUACAAGUUAUCAUGACAUUUUAGGUAGAAUAAUGGAACCAAAAAACACAUGACAAUGUGGAAAAAGCAUGGCUUAUAUCAUAAAUUCAUGAAUAUAUGUAAAUACAACUUACACAAGUCUGCACGACUGUUUUACUCUGUUUUUUCAGUGUUUUAUCAAAUGAUUAUAGAGAACAGAAUAAAGAUAUAUAGUGAAUUGUAAAGGAGCGCAUGCUAUAGAAUAAAAAACUUGUCUUGCAAUUAAACAUUUCUAGGCGAGGAACCACAUUAGCACGCGAUAAAGAUUCACUAGCAAACAAGAAUAGUAGUUGGAGCUAGAGUGACUUGGCAAGGCUACCAAGGGCCUGAUAACCGACAUCGAAAAAAUCAAAAGAAUAAUGAAAAGGUUGUAGUCGGCACCGACAUGCACAAAAAGAUUAGAAGUUUUUCAUUGCAAGUAGCCUAUAUAAAGCCUUCACCUCCAUCAAGAAAAAAAAGGUAAAACGUCUGAAAGGAUCGACCAAAGUUUGAUCUAAAUGGGCAAAAACCUAGGGAGCUCCAUUGAGCCUGUGGAAAGAACUAGCCUUUUAACCUUUUAUAAAAGUUUCCACCGUCUUCUCGGGUCAAUCUUGUAAGUGUGAGCUUAGUGAGAAAACUAGAGAAAGAUCCACCAUGUUCCUCCCCCCAACUUGUAAUACCUUUCACCUCUUUACUUUCCAUUUUUAUAUUUCAUCGUAAUGUAUAUGUGAUGUUCAUGUUGCAAAACCGAAGGCCUACAUUCUUUAAUACAUUGCAUAUGUAUCCCUUUUCAAUCUAUCACGUCUUUACUAUUCAUCUGUCAAAGUGUUAUAAGUAGUUUAGGUUUAUAAUAAGUUCUUGAUAAAGAAGUCUAACUUAUAAGGUUUAUCGAAUUAGUUGAGUGAUUCUUGAUCGCUUGGCCAGAUUUUGUCGUCAACUACUAAAGAGAGUAAGUAGCAAGGAUACAUGGACAUAGCUAAUGCACACAAGGAGGAGUUUGGAGACAAACUCUAUCUUGAUGAUUAACACCGAGAGGUUGUCAACCUUAAACGAGAGGCAAUAUAAGUUUUAUAAGUAACCACUUUUAGAUAGUCAUCGCUUAACGAAGUUUAUUAUUUGCAUCCUGAGAUGUGAGCAAGUCUGACAUUUAAGGCACUGAGAGGUGUUCGCCUUAAUUAUAAGCUAGUUAAUUAAUAUCUAUCACAUCAAGGCUUACUAUGUAACUUAGUCACUCAAAAUGCUAAGACCUUCUUUCACAUUUUCUUAACGCAAGUUAGUUCAUUCUCAUUCUUCUCACCCCUCUUACCACCUUUCACAGAAUCUCUAGUGUAGAUAGUGGGUUUAAUGCUUAGACACACAUUUAUUUUAUACUGUAUGGAUAUUGUAUACCAUCGAGAUGAAUAAGUACUCUUUAUAACUAAGAUUUGAUAUCAAUUCCAUGGUUCGACCCUGACUUACUCAGGAAAUCUAUCGUUUCGCUUACACUUGGGCAAGCGAGAUAGAAAAGCUUGUAUUCAAUGAGGAUUUAGUAACUACCGUGAGGAUAAGAGCUUGUAUAUUUUAUUGUGUAGCUCUGAUUUAGAGACAUAGGUUGCAUCUAACAUGCAAUGAUCAUGACUCAUCCCUUAAAGAGAUUUGUAAUGUGAAUUUAACCUACAUAUCCCAGUACUACAUAACUGGCAAUACUUGACGUUUGUAGUUUUGAAAUACUUGACAGUUCUAAUAAUAUAGUACACCUUUAGGCUUGACAUAGAUAGAAAGUUUAGGCUAUUGUUAAAAGUUUGGGCUAACUAUAUGUAUAUGGUUCAUUGAUAUGUAUAUAUAUAUAUAUGCAAUUUGUUAAAAUAAUUAGUUCUUUGAUGGAAAGUUUGAGUUGAUUUAGUUGUUCAAUUAAUGUGUAGUUUAGCAUAUUUGUGUACUCUCUUACUUUACUUAUGUUCGUCAUUGUUAAACUUCAAAACAUGUGCAUGAUAAAUUAUGUAGAUAUUUUAAAAUAUAUAAUUUUUCAUUUGAAUAUUAAAAAAAAACUUGACAUGGAAAGCGUGUCAAGAGUAAACAAAUUCUUGACAUUUAGAAAAUGUCAACAAAUCUUAUAUACUUGACGUUCAUAAACUGUCAACUAUAAUUAUAAAAAAGGAAAAAAAAACAUCUUAUUCUUGAUACUGGAUUACUUGACACGUAAAAAACGUCAAGUAAUCUCAUAUACUUGAUGCUUUUUACCUGUCAGAUUACUUGACCCUUUUUACCUGUAAAGUAUAAUUGUACUUGACGUCCAUUAUUCUUGACAUUGGAUUACUUGAUGUAUUGAAAAGUAUCAAGUAAACAAAUACUUGACAGGUAAUAAGCGUCAAGUAAACUCUUCUUUUGUAGUAAUGUCCCAAUUGUGCAAACCCAUGCACUAAAACUAUAAAUGAAGCUCAACACUAAAUCAUUGCACGAUACAAAACACAAAUCCAAGACAAGCAAGUUGUUAUGCAAGAUAAAUUUCACCAAACAACAUUCAUCAAAAUUCCCCUAAAUAAAUCCACAGACAUUUAAUUAAUUUUGAACUUGUGCACACCAAACAGCUCUUAGGGAUUUUAGUUUGGUGAUUUUAGACAACAAAAAUGUAGGUCUUCUAUAAACACAAAUCAAAAGAUGAUUAAUCGGCAAUUUGUAAAAAAGAAAAAGAAAAAAUUGCAAAUUUCAAAGUAAAAAUGAGCCCCAAUCACUUUUUGUACUUUAGUUUUGUGAUGUGGUUCAUAGGUCCUAUCAUGUCUCUCCACUUGGCUAUGCCAGAAAGGCAUCCAUUUAAUUCAAAACUAGGUUUCAUUUUCCUUCAUGGACCAACCAUCUCAUUUGUUUAGCUGUUUGGGUUGAUGGGCCAAAAAGUAUAUAUAUAGUAAUACUAAUAAUGCAAUGAACAUACAAGUUUAACCAAGAAAGGACAAAAGAAGAAAAAAAAAUACUACACCUUUAAAAAAAAUUAUUGAAUUCUUAGACAAAUUAAAAAUAAAAAUUGUGAUCUACCCAAUAGAAAAAAUUUUAAAGUAAGAUACUUUAUCUAAAUUAGAUAUUCGAAAUUGCUAUUUUUAAAAUUUUAUUUACAAUUUCUUAAGAAAAAGAUCUAACCCCAUAUGUUUUAUAUGUGAAUUGAUUUUGUUUUUAUUUCAAUUAAACCUUUUUAUUUAUUUAUGCUGCUAGUUAUUAUUAAUUAUUAGUAUUACUUAUUUUUUAAGAACAUUAUAUGUUACUAAUUACUAAAAUAAGGAUAAUUGUGCGAACUUUAAAGAUGACAAUUUUUUAUUUUGGAGAAUUUUCGUUCAUUUUUGUACUGUUAAUGCUUUUUAGAGCAGUUUUAGAUAUAGCAAAAUGAACCAAAAUAUUUACAAAAUAUGACAAAAGUUUAAAAUUUAUCAAGGAUAGAUAUUGAUACACCCACACCUAAAGCUUGAACGUUUAUUGUGGAAGCUUUGGAGUGAUGUAUAAAAGAAUAUAAUUUGAGACCUUCCAAUCCAAUGUAAUUAUUUGAGAUAAGUUUAUUUUUGGAAUUGAGAAACCUCUUUCUAAAAGUAUUAGACAGUUGGGUGACACGUGUCUAUAAAAGAGUGUAUGAAAUAGGGGCAUAAGAGAGAAGAGCAGAAACUUUAUUGUUGUUAGAGAGAGAGAAUUGAAGUUUUUGCAUAUAAUGUUUAAGGAAGUGAUGUGAAGUGAAGUUUAAGGCAGGUAAGGAUGCUUCAUGUUGUACAUGCAAGUCUCCUAGGAACUUUCUUGUCAUCAUAUUAAAGCAAAGCCCACACCUUGUUGCCUCUAAAAACAAUAAACCUCUAAACCAAUGUCAUCAGUCAAGCCUCUCUUUUGGAUUGUUAUAAUAAAUUCUUAAUAAUUUGAUUUCAUCUUGUGAUACACAUAAAAUUAGUAUACACCAACACAACAAUUUUAAUUUGUUUCUAUAAUCGUGUUAUUAUGUUCAACAUGUCAAUAUAUUUUCAUUAAUUCAAUGCUAGAAAUACAGUUAAAAGUCUGUGUUGUAAUGGAAUUUCACCAGACUUCUUCGUCUAAAAUAAAAUGUUUUACUAUUAUUUUGUUUUUGUUUCAACCUUUAGUUUUACUGGGUUUCCUUUUCAUUUUGAUAUAUUUUGUAAGUAUUGAGAUUCUAUUUAUUUUCAUUUUGAUAUAUUUUAUAAGUACUAGUUCUUCAAAAUGUACCUCAUGCUAGUAUUCUCUUUAUGAAACUUGCUUGAUAUAAAAUAAACAUAUCAAAAUGAAAUUUUGCUAGUAUUCUAACAAAUGCAAGAUUACCGAUACGACACAAUACAAAAGACACAUAAGGUUCUUUUAGAUCUAGGACGCACGAAUGUCACCUCAACGGUAGGUUUAUUAAGAAUAUUUACAUUCUUAAAAUAUAAUGUACGAUGGAAUGCCUUAAAUCUAUUAUAUCUAAAGAUUCAAAUGACCAAGCAUUUGUUUCUUUAUUAUGUUAUUUACAAUUUUGAUCAUAGGGUUUAGAAGAGUGAGAUAUGUAUAAACUCUCUAAUCCUAGAAGAGUAAUUGUAAUAUGAAAUUUGAUAUUUUUUUCAAAAGACAAUAAGAGAAGGAAGAAAGGAAUAAUGAAAAAGUUAUCUUCUUCUUCCUUUAGUUAUUUCAUAGUCGUAAUUGACAUUGUCUAACUUUUACUAUGAAUUGAACAAGAAGAAUACUCAUUUUAUAAUAUAUAUUAAACCAAAGGUCUCUCUUAGAGGAAUAAUUGUGACUACCUAAUUGGAAGUUCUGACGUAGCCUUCUACUAUCGUCCUAUAAAUAGCUAACCAAGUAUUUUAACUGAAAUCACACUCUGGGAACUAGUCUCAAUGGUAAGUAUGUAUCACACCUGUACUCACAACACCAUCUUCUAGCGUUAUGUUUGAGGACACGACUUGGGCAGCUUGACACCUAUAAGUGAAAUGGCAUAACGUUGCGGUCUUAAAACUUCAACUUAACUUGGAUCUUAACAACUUAGAGCCUGAAAGGCGAUAAACUUCAAUAAAACUUGAGUAAACUUAGCAAAUUUUAUGCACUCUUUAAACAAAACUUAAUACAAGUACAAGCUUAUACUUAAAUAAACACUAAAUCUAAAACUUUAGGCUCUCAACACCUCUCACAACUCUUAAAGUCGGCUUUAACACCUCAUUGCCCAACAACUUGCCUUAAUAUUCACAAUGUAGCCCUAACGCUUCACUUACCUUGGGAAAAAACUUAAAACAUGAGUUAAAUGCUCAAUGAAUGACAAUUUUAGAAAAAACACUUAGUGAAUACAAGAUCAUCCAUAAACUCAUUUUACAGGAAAGUUUUACAGUGCCUCAUCUCGCGCCAAAACAUUAAGCACCUAUUAGCCUCUACUUUUUCCUUUCAUCGGAAUAUUAAAUCAUUCUCACGGGAAGACUACUGUGACGACCUAUAUCAUCAAUAACAUCACCCUUAGAGAUUUAAAAGUUCAAUUUAUGUUGCACAAGAGGUUAGCUCGAAUGCAGACCUCGCAAUGCAUUCAACCAUCUUCUCAUUGCCAUGUAGUCCUUUCACUGCAAAGUUACCUUAACUCUUAUGUGCACAUAAUAGCUAGCUCAUGAUAGGAGUAAAGCUAAUGGUUUACUUGCAUACAAGCAACAUAAACUGAACUACUUAACUUGAAAUAUUUCAGGUUGGAAAUCAUUCAUCCAAUUGUUAUGAUUUUCAUAUAAAUAAUGAGAUUACAAUAUGUAAUACAUUUUUCAUAACAUAACACAACAUGACUUGACUGGAAAGAAACUUAGAAAAACUUAUCUAUUUCUCUUAGAAAAGUCACUCACGAAGCCUAACUUCCAUUACUAUAUCCUUUUUCUUAACGCCUAGUGGUUUAGGAACUUUUCUUUUCACCUGAUACUCUUCAAAAGGAUGCUUUAGUACUUAGAGCUUCCUUAACACUUCCUUUGAAACCACCAGUCUUAUUUAUAUUGGUCCUAAACUGGAUUAGUCAUCUUUAAAUUUUUCUUAGCCUGUCAGUUUCUAUCUAGUACUUCACACAUGUAGGUUUAAUACCUUUAUCAAGCUUAACUUUAACCUAACACGUAAGAAGUUGACUAAUUUGGAUUAAUGUUUCACCACUCUUUCCUCGCAUGUGAUUUUUCUCGGGUAGCUCCAAACAGUUCUUCUCGUGUCAUUCUGACUUGAUACGAUGCCUAGUUUUACUUUGAGUACUUUCCUUCCACGCAUCACAUCAUUAGAAAGCAUGCUUGAAUCAAAAUGUCAAACCUUUCAAAUUUCAUCAAAAUGCCUAAGCUUUAAACUUAACAUCUACAACUUUACUACUUAACCUUUAUUCUCAGAAUGUGGGUUUCUGACUAGUUUGUAUCAAACACGAGAAGCACAUGAAAUUUCUCUAGUAAAUAGUUUCCAACUCAAGGUAAUCGAUAAGGAGAUUAAGAUCGUAAUUAGUAUUGGUUGUGAAUAAAGUAAAAUUGCACGAAACGUAAAAUUUGGACGAAUUCAAUAAUUAAAAGAUCAUAGUUUGAUCUAUCAAAGUGCAAUCUAUUAAAAGCAUUUGUUCAUGGAAUUUCAUCACUAAUUGAAAUUCAUUGCCUACACCUAACCAAUUUAAUUAGUAAAGCUAACUAAUUAAAUCUCGUCCUAAUAAUCAGACUAGCCUAAUUCGAACGAAUGAAAAGCAUGUCAAUUCAAAUCAACCCAAUUUCAUUAAGAUUCAGGAAAAGCUAGGCUCAAUAAUUAACUUCCAUACGUAUGGCUAAUUACCUAGAAAGUUCAAUUCAAAGUUGAUUAGAACAACGCAGGUAAAUUGCUAGCAAGCCAAAUCUAACUUAUUGCUUUGCAUUUCCAUGCAAUUGUCAGGCAACCAAUAAGAAAAACAUACAACACUUAAAGCAAACAUCAUAAAGUCUACAAGUGUCCAUGAUAUGAAUUAAAAUCAUUAAAAAUAGAAUUAAAUCUCAAUGAGACAAUGAAUGAGUUCAGAUUCUCAGAAAUGCCAGAAAAUAGAAUGAAACCUUGGGAACCCAAGCUAGAAUUUGUAUCUUAGCCUCUCAUCCACAUGUUGGAUGAUGAUGAGGAGUUAGAGGACUUAAACUCACAAGAACAUAGAAAACUGAGGAUAACGUGUUAUGGUUGUUGGAAAUUGAAGAUAGGUCAAAUAGAGGCAAAUAUUGGCCAUUUUGUCUUACAUUGUCGUGCGUAGUGUCAUGUGGCAUCGUGGCACUACAAGGCGUAACCUAAUUUGGCCCUCCUUUCUCCACAGUUCAACCUGGUUCAUGUGGCCUUAUGUCUUCGUUUUUUUUCCUAUUUAAGCUCUAAUUUGACAUACAUCAAAUUCUGCCUUUGCUUAGCUUAUAACCUACAAAUUAGAAAAAUAGAAACAUAAAAUCAUAAAAACGAUUAUGAACUAAGCAUUUGAUAACACAUUUCAAGCUGUCAAAUUUAUUGACUAAAGGAGGUAAUAACAAUGUGUGAUACUUCAACGUCUAAAGAUUAUAGUAUCCACGUCGAUAUCAACAUUGAAAUUUUAUUUUUAUAGUAUAUUAUAUUGUUACAGAUUUUUAAAUAUUUGGAUUAAAUUAUUAUAGAUUAAUAUUGAAGAAUUGAAUCGUUUUCCUUCUAUAUCAAAGUUUAAGAUAUUUCUAUCAAUGGAAAACUAUUUAAAUCAAUAAUUAAAUUAUUUUAUUUAAAAAUUAACUAAUUAAGUUGAUCUAGAUCUUUUUCGAUGUAUGUAUUUUUUAUAUUACAUUUAAUAUAUAUAAGUAUUUUUAUGUGUUAAUGGAUGUUAAUGUUUUAACUUAGAUAGAUAAAGAGGUCUGACAACAGUAAAUUAGUAUCUAAGAGAAAAACAUAACCUAGAAGUUAAGAGAAAAUAUGCAUACUAAUGUGGAGCAGGGCAUGUAAACUUUUUUUAUGGGUAAAUAUGUAGGUCUAGAGUUUAUAACGUUGGUUAUGUAAAUUUUAGUGGAAAGUCAACUUACCCUUCUAUCAUAUAUAUUCCUUUCUUAUUUACAUGGUUAAAUGAUAUAAUUUGUCUCUCAUUAGGUUACUUUGUUUGUCUUACCUCUCUUGUAGGAUACAUCACACGAGAAACAUGGUGAUUUAAUGGACAGAGGCUCAACCUUGGUCGAGGCCGAGUAAGCUAACUUGACUUUGGUCGAUCAGUCCAACCUUUCAAAUUAGGUCAUUAUUUUGUGGGUCGUUGAAUCACGCACUACAAGUACUUUGAAUAUUCCCGAUGCAUUACAACAUCGAGAAAGAUUAAGAAAAACGUCGGAAAAAGCUUUCCCGACGUAUUCUUCAACAUCGGUAAAAUUGUGUCGGGAGACCCAUUCCCGAUGUACCAUAGAACUGUGUCGAUACUUCAUUUCUCUCGACGUUCCCCUUCCACCGACAUCGAUCAUGCAUCGAGUAGCCUCUAAGACUCUACCGACGUUCUCGUCACAUUAGGAGAAGGUGUUUCCCGAUGUUGCGUUGUGAAACUUGUCACUGAUGCCAUCUUUCAUGCGUCAGGGAUAAGGCUUUUUUCCUGACGCAUUAGCUGCAUCGAAAAUAGUAUUUAAAGUUUUUUUUUACAUUAUUAUUAUUAUUAAUUUUUUUAUUUUGUUUAAUUUUUAUUAAUUUUUUGUUUCAAUUUUAGUUUCUAUUCGAUUCUAUUUCGAUUUCGAUUUAAUUUAAAUAAAAACUAAACAACCAAAAUAGUAAAUAAUAUAUCCAAAUCGAAAUUGUAUUAUAAUUAGAUAAAUGUCACAAGAACAUACUUUCUAAUUUUUUUUAAAAAAAAGUGACAUGAAAAAGGAAAUUAAAAUAAGAAAGUCGCAGACGCCUCACGGUCCUCCCUGUGUCUGACUCAUUUCUUCAAUCUUCUUUAUCGUUUCUUCCAUUUGUUUAGACUGCAUCUCGGAGCAUCUUCUAUGCUCUUCAAUCAUGCAUCUAUUUUCUUGAAUCUCAAGUUUUUGUUGCUCAAUGAGGAUUGCAUUAGCUUGUUCGACCACUAUAGAAUGCGAACGAGUGGUCGAAGAACUGCUAGCAAGACUUUUGUGGGACUUGGGCCAGGGUCCCCAACCAAGACCUUUUGAGUAGCCUAGACGCUUACUUAAAAAGAUCUCACAAAUAUCAUCCUCAGAGAGUGGCUAAGAACCCUCUGGGAUAGGCUGGGACUGAAGUUCUAGCAUUUGACUCUGCAACAAAUAAACUUUUAUGUAAGUUAUGAAUUCCAGAAGUAUAAGUACAUAAUUUAGACAAAAUAAAGUUCAAACUAACAUACGCAUCUGUAGCCGCCUGUGACAUGAAUUCUCCACUUCGAGUGUGGGUUUCUUUGAAUAAUUUUAGUCAGUCGACUGGCAGACCUCGUUCUCCAACGAGGUCAUGUUGUUAUUGUAGAAACGACUUCAACCUACUACUAUGAUUGUAAGGCUGCUUCUGCCUAGUAGCCUUGUUUGUCUGUGAUUACUCCUCCAUGAAAAUGUUUGUUAAAAGUACACACACGCGUUAAGAAAGUUAAGUGAAAUAACAAAUACCAUUGGAAUUCGUAGGUCUCACCUGAAAUACACGACUCAUGUAGUGAUCGCAUAGGAAGUGUCAAUCUUCCAUACGUUCCACAAAUAUGUUAGGUGGGUUGGCACGUGCCUGUUUUGGGUCACUGUACCGUUUGAAAUGUUUGUGACAGUCACCCCUAAACUCUUUAAAAGAUGUGAACAUCUGAUGCUCAACAAAUCUAGUAAGUGCUUGAUUAAUGAAAUCAAGCACGAAAAAGCUCUAGAAACGAAAAACAAUUCACAGGGUAGUUUUGUUUAUAUAAUGAUGUGGAUAUCUCCAUAGAAAAACUAAUGCACUUUUGAUUUUACCUGCAAAUUGCCCUUGAUGUCCUCAAUGUAUUCUCUCCCAACAUCAACCCACUUAAAGCAACAGACUGGAAAUGUAUUUCUCAUACACACGCCAAUGGUGUUGCUGAAUCGGACAGCAUGUGGAGAUAUUGGCUUCUCCACUCCUUGAGCUAUGGUAAUUGAAAUUCUAACAUUUUUUUGAACCUACCUCUCCAACUCCAAGUUUUGAGAUAUUGACGUCUUCUAGGAGUCAGAGUAGGUUGAGACACUUCUACUACAGAAAUGAAGUCAUGUUAGAAACAAAUCGUGACUAAAAAUCUAUUCGCAAUUAACAUCAAAUUAAUUAACACUCACCUGAUGUGUCACCCACCGAGGACGUCGUCGAUCCCACGUUGUUCAAAUCGUCGACAAACUGGAAAAGUAGAGCAUUUGUAUCUUCAAAAUUACUAUUUGGGAAUGAAGACAUAGUACAUGUACACAUAUGACUCAAAAUUAAUCAAACAAAUAUGAGUACAUAAAAUUGAAUGCAUAAAAUAAUGAAAUAUGUGGAUACGUGGUUCUUUAACAUCAUUCGCCAUCACUAGAUUCAUUUGGAUGGGACAAUUGAUCAUCUUCAUCGAUUAUGAAGUUGUCAACAACGUUCGAACAAAUCGAUCUUUCAACAACUAUAGGAUCAAUGUUGUGUAUGCACAGUGUGUCAUCCUCAACUAUCUCAAUGACGUGAUAUCCGUCGUCAAUGAUUCCCACUAUAUUCAGUUGUUCAUUCUCAACAUCAUCUACUUCCGACGCAUCCCAAAUCCGUUUAUUUUGGACCAGUUGAACAACCCUCCAAUUUGGACCAUUUUUUGGGUUCUCUAUGUAAAAUACUUGGUGUCGCUAUGUCGCAAGGAUGACUGGUUUAACGGCGAACAAAAAAUGAGACGUGUUGAUUGAUUUGUACCCUAACUCCACAUGUGUUCUGUGACUUUUAUUGUUGUUUGUGUCAUACUACCUACACUUAAAUAGCCAAACAUGUCGUCCCAUGGGAUAAUGAAUGUCCAACACUUCAUCAAGUACACCUUAGAAAUUAUUGUUCUCUCCAGUGACUACCAUUACUCCACUGUUUUGAGUAGUGUGUCUAGAAUCUCGUUCUACCAUGUGAAAUCUCACUCCAUCUAUAAUGUGUCCACUGUAAGACCAAACAUCAGGUGUUGGUCCUAUCGCAAGCGAAAAUAAAUUGUUUACCCAUUCAGAAAAUGCUUGUUGGUGUCUUCUGUUAAACUCUCGAGUGUUUUGAACUUGUGGAUGUAUCAACUGCAAGUGUCUCCUAAUAAUGAAAUGUUAUAUAAUGAGGACAUAAAACAUCAACCAUAAGAUGAUCUAAGUCAAAGGAUAGAAAUGCUUACUUGUGGUACUUUGAUAUUUCACCUAUAUUGUUGAGAAUGUACCAGUGAAAUAGGCGUUUUUUUUCCUAUGAUAGAGGUCGAACGCUUGAUGGCCCUAAUGGUCUUACUUUUUGAAUGAAGACUUUGAACUCACCCAUCACCUCAACAUUCAGACUGUUAUCAUCGUUUUGUUCACCUCUAGUGAAUCACGUCUCAAUUCCACUUAGAUAUCGUGAACAAAAGGUUCCUGAUUCAUGCAUCAAAUAUGUUUCGGCUAGAUCCCUCAGGACGUGGAUAAACUUCUUUCAAUAUGAUACAUCCAACUGUAAGAAACUGGUCCAACAAUCUUGAUUUCGUAUAGUAGAUGAAUGGCAAGAUGUAUCAUCAUGCUGAAGAAGGCAGGUGGAAAUAUUCUUUCCAAUUUACAGAGUAUGACUAUAAUAUUUUCCUACAGUCUGUCCAACUCACUUACUCAUAUCGUUCUAGCGCACAAAUCACGAAAAAAGUUACACAGGUCAGUAACAGCGGUGUAUACAUUUUUUGGUAAGAAAGCUCGAGCACCAAUAGGUAGAAGUCGAUGUAGCAAAAUAUGACAACCGAGCAUUUUGAGACCUAAAAUAUUCCCUUCAUUUUCAUGCACACAUUGUGAAAUAUUAGAAACAAAACCAUUGGAAAACUUCACUGAUUUCAAGAACUUGCAAAACUCAACUCGCUCGUUACUAGUUAAUGUGUAACUCACAUGUUCCAUCACCAAUUGGUUACCAACUUCUAUGAGAUGUAAAUCCUUUCUAAUUUUCAAAUCUUGUAGGUCCAAUCGUGCAUUAGUGGUUUCUUUGGUUUUUCCUUCAAUAUUCAACAACGUAUCAACCAAGUUGUCACAAACGUUCUUCUCAAUAUGCAUUACGUCAGUUUGUGAUGUAAUAAUAAUCUCGACCAGUAAGGAAGCUUGAAGAAAAUGCUUCGCUUAGUCCAAUUAAGAGCUCUCUUUCUUCUCUUUUAAUGUAGGAUGUUUAUUAAGAACUAGAAAUUCCAAUUGAUCUACUUGUUCUAUUACUUCGUGCCUAUUCAUUUCCACUAGUGCAACCCUACGCUCUACCUUGCCGUUAUGCAGCCUAAUUGUCUUCCAAACAUGGUUCUCAGGAAGAUAACGUCGAUGUUCCAUGAAAGAUAUUUUCUUUCUUAUCCCGAAGGACGAUCUAUCUCCCAUGCAUAUAGGACAUGUCUGAUACCCUUUUUACUCCACCCCGAUAAAUCACCAUACGCUGUAAAGUCAUUUAUCGUCAACAACAAGGCUGCGUACAAUUGAAAUAAAUUAUUGCUAAGAGAAUCAUACGUACGCACCCCAAAAGUCCAUAACUGCUUAAGUUCCUCAAUUAAGGAUCUAAGGUAACCGAGAAUGAGCAAUGUCAUGAAAAAAGUUUACUCUUUCAUGCAUUUCCAAGGUUGAAAAUUGUAAGGAAUUAACACCAUAUGCCACAUAUUGUAUGAGGUACUCAUAUGACCGAACGGAUUAAAACCAUCUGAAGCUAACCCCAGACGAAUGUUCCAUGCAUCUGCAGCGAAAUUAGGGAAUUCAGAAUCAAAAUGUUUUCAUCCAUUCACAUUAGUUGGAUGUCUCAACACAUCGUCUGUUUGAACCUGUUUGUCAUGGUGCCAUCUCAUGUCAGAGGAUCCUUCUUGAGAAACAAAUAAGCAUUGUAAUCUCGGUAUCAAAAAAAAGUGAAGCAAUAAGUUAUUUUCCUCUGUUAUUAGGACUAACCUUGUACCGAGACUCACCGCAAGUUGGACAAAAUUACAAAUCCUCAAACUCCUUCCAAUACAAGAUAUAGUUGUACUUACAAGCAUGAAUAGUUUCAUAUCUCAGCCCCAAGUCACGUAAUUUUUGUUUGCCAUCGUAGAAUGAACUAGGAACAUUGGUAUCACACAUUGGGAACACACUUUUUUUUUAAGUCUAACAUCAUGUCAAAUGACUUGUUACUCCAAUCUUUUAAAACCUUUAUGUGCAUCAUCUUAACCAAAAACUUUAGGGAAGAGUUAUUUAGAACAAUUUGGGUAUAACUCACUACGAGCUUCAUUCAAUAAGUCAUGAAAUAUGUUUAAUGUUUCUUCUUCUAUAUCUACCCAAUCGGAGCUUCUAUUUUCCGUUCGCGUUCAAUUGAAGCUUAUCAAUCGUUAAGCAUAUCAAACAUUUCAUCUUCUUCAUCAAAAGGGUUACUGCUAGUUCUUUCAUUAAAAGGGUUACUGUUGGUUCAUUCAUCAAACCUUUCAAUACCUCUAUGGAAGUUUACUGGAUCUCCAUGAUACAACCAUUCUGUAUAGGAGGAGGAUAUUCUGAUGGUCAGUAGAUGUCGCUCCACACCCUCUAAUGAGUACCAAUUUGAGUUCAUACAUCUAUUACAUGGACACCUUAUUCGUCCGUAAGCAUCGACGUGGAACUUGGAUAUCUCUAAAAAUAGGGACACACCCUCUCUAUACCCAACCAAUAACUUAUUCCUAACUUUCAUCCAACUCUUGUCCAUCGCUAAAGACCUAAAACAUAAAUAUGUUUGAUCAUUAGUUUUAUAUUCCUCCCUAUCAAACCCUAAACUUAAUUACUUCAUGAAUAAGUUAUGCCAAAUCUUCCCUCUCUUUUAACUGAAGCUAAGUUCAAACUACAAAAGACUACCAUAACUGCAGGAUAGCUAGAACAAAAUAACCAAACACUCUACUAUAUCUAAUUAAUUAUAAACCAAGUUUGCACUAAAUAGAAGAGAUUAAUUGUACCCCUCAUCAUAUAAAUACAAUAAUAUUCAAUAUUUUUGUAUUUCGGCAAUACAAUUUCAUCAACUAAAUAAACAUAGAUUUGAAGGGUCGCCCCCUCCCCUCCCCCUUCCCCUCCUUUUUUUUUACACAAUAUUAAUUUCUCCAUUUUCUUAAAUAUAUUAUUUUAUGUUAUUUCUCUCAAAUUUAACUUACUUAAACUUUUCCAUUUUCUUAACAAAUUAUUCAUACAUUUGGAUUUCUUCUAAUUAUCCAUUAGUAAAUGAAAUCACAUAACAAACAUAUAUGAAAAAUUUAUAAAACAGAAAUGUGCAAGAUCGACUCCUUAAUCAAACACACAAUUCGUAAAUCCCGAACCAAAACAUAAUUCAAAAUCCUAUUCCUAAAACAAAACUAAUUCGAAACCCUAGUUGUUAAUUUAAAUCAUAAUUUAUAAUGUAAAUAAAACAAAAAUCACAUCAAACUAAUAUUUGAUAUGCGACGGCGACGAAAUGGCAGCAAGCGGUAGACACGACGGUGAUGAAUCUCCUCUUCUUCUUCUUGGUCUCCCUCUCUCUCGCUCUUCUCGGUCUCCCUCUCUCUCGUUUUUCUUUCUCUUUUAUCUUUCGAUUAUGUAAAUAAAUGGGUUUAAAGAAAAGGGAACUUCCGACGCAUCCUAAAAACGUCAGGAAUAGCACCCUAUUCCCGACGCGAUUAAUGAAUCAUCAGGAAUAAGUAAACCUUUUUUUCGACGUGUUUGACAUCAUGUCAGAGGAAGGCAAAACGGUACAAUUAAUGAUUUUUCCCUCCUCCGACACGACACUGUGGACGUUGAGAAUAGGUAACUUGUUCCCAACGUGUCUGACAUCAUGUCGGAGGAAGGAAAAAUGGUACAAUUAAUGAUAUGCUUCUUCUCCGACGCGGCACUAUGGACGUUGGGAGAACGCGUCUAUGUCUGACGUCGUAAGGGAUGCAUCAGGAAUAGAUACGCUUUUUACCAACGUGUCUGACACCACAUCGAAGAAAAUCUGACGGUAUAUUUAAUUAUCAUGGGUAGUCCAGACGUUCAUGGGUAUGCGUCUGGGAAAAUUGCGUCCCCCGACGUGCAUUGAGAUGUGUCGGGGAACGCCAGCUUCUAUCGAUGUUCAGCUUUCCAACGAUUUGUCGUGUAUCAGAAACUUUUUGAUUUAUUGUAGUGAUGUAUGGGAUGUAUGAUUAUGUGAGUUCAGCCUCAACCUUGGUCAAAGUCAACGGGGCUAACAUGACUUUAGACCAAGUAAUAAACCUUCUUCCUAGACCAUUUUGGACUACCAAAUACUCCUAUUUCGUUGUUUGAUCGAUUUUACCUUUUAAUUAGUCUAAAAUUACCUCAUAACAUACUAAUGAUUAUUAAUAAAAGAUAUUGGAGAUAUCAAUUAAUCUUAAUAUGGACACAAAAUUUUCAAUUUACAGAUGUGUGAAUGGAUAUUUUAGACAUUAUUGCUUCAAACUAGCCUAGCUACAUGAGAUAAUUACAAGACCUUCAGAAAUUUCUUUUACGUUUUAAUACAACUAGAAAAAGUUAUGCAGAGUAACCCUAGUGUAUGAUGGGCAGUGUCACUAAUUGAUAGGCGUAGGCCUCUGAUCUUUAGUCCUAUAAAUUCAGAAGGAUUUUACUUACUAAGAAUGACAUAAUGGUUGCUCAUCAAAACAUGCCUAAGAUUCAAUAGCUAUUAAACUAUACUAAAUGAAAGUAUUGAAAUAAUUUUCCAACUUAUUUUAUAAGCUAAAUUUACAAAGAAUAAUUACCCUAACGUAGGUAGUUGGUGGUUUCAUUUAUGCGCUUUACACAUUUUGAAAUUGGAUAAUAAUGGCCAUAGGUAUUUAUUUCAAUUUUCUCUAAAACUAACCAUUAGUGCCAUUUUCCUAAAAUUAUUAAUGAAAAUUAAUGUGUUCAUGAUGAAAUUGAAAGUAAUGAAAAUCAAGGUAAUUAGAAUUAAAAUCUAACUCACCAAUGUAUUGCAUACCUCAAUCUUAGUCAUCAUAAGUGGAGGUCAACUUAGUUGAGCAAUAAUCAACAUCAUUAAUUUUUAUUUUAUUCUUGAAGUAAAAGAUUUAAUGUUCAUUUCCCAUGUAAUUGUUAUACGAAAGAGAAGUAAUAUAAUUUCAUCGAAAAAGAAUGGUUCUAAUGAAAUAUUGGGUUGAUGUGGACUAAUCAAUAAUUAGGUCUAACACAAUGGUUGUACGUACAUCAUUUAAAUUUAAUAAGUAUUUUAAGGAAAAUUUGAAUGAACCUACACCAAGUAUUAUCAUUUUUUUUCUUCACAAAAGUGCUUAAUUAGGUCUUCUGUUUUUUUAAGAAAUUCAAAAUUAUUAAAACUAAUUUGCAAAAUAGUUUUUUUUUUUUUUUUCUCUUUUUUUAGUUCCACAACCUAUUGAGUAUUAAUUUGGAGUUCAAAUCAUUGGCAGUUAAUUUCUUUUAUUGAAGAUACACAUAUGUUUCAAUUGGUUGGAUGGUAGAUUUAGGAAAGAUAUUGAAUUUAACUACCUAGAUAUAUGGAAACAUUUUUGUAUAAUAUAGCUUACCAUGUAAAUCAUUAUAUUAAUUUCUUUAAUAAACACAUAAACUAAAUAUGUUUGAACACAUAUAAAAUCUAACGUGAUUGGUUUAAAAGUGUUGUCGAACAUAUUAAGUUUCAUCAAAGUAUUAUAACACAACAUUGACAUAAAAUAUGUACCAUCGACCAAUUUCCUCCCUUCCAUUAGUGUUAAACUAAGAAAACCUCGUUUUCAUUUUACUUUAUUUUAAAGUAAAAUACAAACAACUAUUUAUAUAAACUUACGAAAAUAUAAAUUUAAAGUAUAUGGAAAACCAAAAUCUAGAACACUUAUUCAAAGCUAUGCAAUUUCAACAAUCACUCUACAAAAACAUGUUUACAUGACUCUAAAAAUAUGUUAUUACCAUAUUUCGUGACUCUUUUUUAGUCAUGUAGUCACUAACCGGUUGUUGGACAUAUCGUCCAAAAUUUUUAAGAGAUUAUUGUAAUCCAUCUUCCAUCUCCCUUAACCUUAACCUCGUUGCUUUCAUGUAAUUUGUUUUACAACAAACAUAUAUAUAUAUAUAUAUAUAUAUAUAUUUUUGUAGAAAAAAGAAAAGAAAAGAAAAGAAUAAAUGUUUGAAAUAUUAAGGGGAACAUAAUAUUUAGACCUUAAAACAACAUAGUAACGAUGCUAUACAUAUAUAUAUAUAUAAACUAAAAAUGUCAUUAUUUUAUUGCAUAGGGUAUAGAGUAAAAAAUCUCUUCUUCUUUUAUUUUCCCCAGUUCAUGUGUUUUAAAGGGGCAUGGCAUCUCUAUAUAUGAUUGAAAAUAUUAAGUAGAGAGAUCAGCCUAUAAAUCCCUAUUGACAUUCAUCACUUCUCCUUUUACCCAUACUUCCUCUCUCUUUUCCUCUGAGUUUCAUUUACUUCCUCUAUCUCUCUUUAAACAAAAAAAAAAAAAAAAAAAACAUUAAUAUUUCCUUUUUCAGGCAUAAAAAUAAAAUUAAAAAAAAAAAACACACACACACACACCAAUUCUAUUAGUACUACCAUCAUACAUUUAAUAAUUUUCACACAAUAAAAUUACUCCCCUACCUCAUCUCUGUGCUAUAUCUCUUUACACCUAAAAUUAAAAUCCCCCCAUAUGCAUCUCUUCAACCCUUCUUUUUGUGGAAAAUUACCCCUAGAAACUAUAUCCCUUUUUCCACUAUUUCUUUAAAAAUAAAAAAAAACUAUUACAUCACAAAAUAUAAUUAAGUUAACUAUGUCUAGGUGGAAUCAGAAGGUGUACUAAAUUAAAACAUUUUAAUCAGAUGAACAUAUAUGUAACAUUAUCAUCAUACCCCAAUUUUAAAAUCUAAAAGUGAUGCAUUUAGUUGUCAUGUAAAAGAGUUAUGUACAAAUAGGGGAAGAGGAAAACACAAAAUACAAAAGAUUGACAAUUUCUACACCAUAAGCUAGAUAAGGAGGUGAUUCAACUUUCAAUAAAAAUUGAAAAUUUUAAAGAGUAAUUCUAAGUUAUUUUUACUUUCAUACUAAAUCAUAGUUUUUGUUUAUAGUGUGUGUAUAUGUUAUAUUGGGAUUCAUAGAUUCUUUUUUUUAAAAAAAUUAUGUUUAUGGGUAAUUAUAAAAAUAUACAUGUUAGAUAUGAAUUAUUGAUAAUUUUGAAUUUUAUGAAAGAUAGAAACCGAUAAACUUUUAUCAUUGUCUAUCAAUGUCACUUAUAGAAACACUAUCAAUAUUUAUUAUUGAUAAAAUCUGAAACUUUGUUAUAUGUCGUAAAUAUUUUGUCAUAUUUACUGUUUUUGACAAUUUUCUUAUAAAUUAAUCAUAAUUAAUAUCAAACGUAUUUUAAUCCCUUUUUGUUUAAUUAGUUAAAGACCUUAUGUCACUAGAUUGUUAAAAGAAUUAAUACUUUAAAUAUUUAAUAGUAUUUUUAAAAGGGUUAAAAUAACGUUCAUCAUACAUAAAAAUUAGUCUUAAAUGUAACUUCAAUUACUCAAAUAUAGAUAAAUAUUUCAUUCCAGAUUUCAUAUAUCAUCAAAAAUAAUUUUGAAUAAUUAUUAAAUACGUGUUUGAGGGUAAUAAUAAAAAUGUCAAAAGGUAUGGUGAAGCAUUUCAAAAUCAUGACUUUCCAAACAUGUUAUAUGAUAGAUGUAGAUGGAUGAGAUUUCAAAUUAUAUCCCUCUUGUUGGUUUGGUUUGUUUUUAGGGAUUAAUAUCAUAACGAAACCCUAGUAAUUUAGAGGGAAAAUAAAAGGUUAAUAUGGAUGUUUUGUUGAAGAAUCUUCCUUAAAUUUGUAGCCAUGGUAAGUGACAAUCUCCCACGUUUAAGGGCCCCAUUCCCUUUUUACUCUCACACCCAUAGCCACCCACUUUUGUCCUCUCUCUCUCUCUCUCUCUUUCUCCUUCCCUUUGAUCUCUUUCUCAAAUAUCUCAACUAUUUUUACCAGAAGAAAUAAGAUCAUCAACAUACAAAAAAGAAAAAUUUGAGAAGAAGUAGACGAAAUACUAACCCUUAUUGCCCUUAUUGAUCUUCCAAUACUGCAUGACCUUCAACCUCUCUCACACUCCAUCUUCAUAUCUCUCUCCCUUUUGAAUAUCAACCCCUAAACCUAAAAAUCGAUCACAAUUAUAUUUUCAAACCAAGGAAGAAGGAAAAUGAUGAAAGAUCUUUAAUGGGUAGCAGAGUUCUUUGAGAGUUUCAUUUCACAUUUCCAAAAUCCUAAAGGAAAGAAGAAAAUGGGAUCUUCAAACUAUAAUCUCAACCCUUUUCAUUGUUUUCCUUCUUCUACUUCUUCCACUACUAAUUCCUACAAUCUCCCUCCCUCCAUUCCUUCACUUCUCAACUCUGACCCUUCAUCCAGCAACACUUCGACUAUCAACUUCCAUCACCAACCCCAUCAAGAUCCACUCUCAUUUCUAGCUCCCUAUUUUCCCAUUGCUCAUUUCUCCGCGUUGGCACCUCCCGAAACGGCCGUGAUCAAUUUUGCAGUAGCAGGGAACAACAUUCAAGCUCUCGGUGAUAUGGUUAUCCCGAGCGCUCCUGGAGCAGGGACAACGGGGAUGGGGAAGAAGGAUCGGCAUAGCAAGAUUUAUACAGCUCAGGGUUUGCGCGAUCGAAGAGUGAGAUUGUCCAUUGAUAUAGCUCGCAAGUUCUUUGAUUUGCAAGACAUGUUAGGGUACGAUAAAGCAAGCAAAACCCUAGAGUGGCUUUUUAGCAAAUCCAAAAAAGCAAUUAAAGAGCUUUCAAGGACCAAGAGUGGAAAUCUUGGGGUUCAUGGAGGGGCUAAAAAAUUUUCUUUGGUAGCUGAUUCUUCUGAUGUUGAAGAAGAAUAUGAUGAUGAUAAAGAAGGAUGGGAGCUGAAGAUGAAAUCAAUGUUGAGCAUUGAUGAACAAGAGAAAGUGAGUAAAGAGAAAGUUGAAGGUUUUAAUCUUCUUGCUAAAGAAUCAAGAGCCAAAGCCAGAGCAAGAGCCAGAGAGAGAACCAUGGAGAAGAAGCAAGUUGACAACAGGAAAGUUUACGGUCAUCAGAAGGGCGGCGCCCAAGAAGUUUCGAAUCAUUGGAGUAAGCAUUUGAAUCAUAGCACUGAAACUUCAAAUCUGUCAAUGGAGGAAUCCUCGUUCAUUAACAAGAGAAAGAUCAUUUAUUCUAAGAAGUUCAUCAACCACGACAACUACAGUGAUAAAUCGCGUCGAGAUGACGAGAAUGCCGAAACCUCUCAACGGAAGCUUUUGGAUCAGAUGAAGGCUUCAAAGAGGAAAUGGAAACCUUCCAUUAUUUCUGGUUCUUCUCAAAGAAAUUUUCUCAUCUCCAUUGACGGUAUUCCCAUUAACUUAACUCAAAAUUUGGAUACCAAUAGCAACCCCAAUUAUCCUAUUGCCAAGUAAAAUUUUAUUAACAGGUAAUUUCAACCAUCAAAGGCUUUAGAUUUUUUAUUUUUUCCCCCUAAAAAAUUGAUGAAUAUUUUGUUUUUGUGUUUCGGUUUCUUUUUUUUUUUCUUUUCUUUUUUUUUUCUUUUUUGGCAGUUUUACAAAUCAAGGGUGGAAUGCAGUCAACAAUGUCAAAACGUGGCCUGUUUUAGAUUGGUUUUUCUUCAACUACUACUUGAAUGUUCUUUUAGAUUUAUGAUAUUAUAACAAUUAAAGACUGAUGAUUAAGUUUUUUCUUGCUUUAUUAUAAUCACUAAAUCAUGUUCGAUCCAUUAUAUCAUUUUUCUUUAGUAUAUCCAAAUAUAUAUUGUGUCUUUGUCUCAUGGAUAUUCUUCAAAUAAUAUUAAUUUAUAGUUUUGGCUGCCAAAUUGAGAGUUGGAUUUUUUGUGAAUAUCGAUGCUACAUUGCUAUUGGCGAUUGACAUACAUGUGAAUGUUAGGCAUGUAUGAUAUUAAUUUUCGAAUGUCUAAAAUCACUCCUGCUAAAACAUCAUUCAUAGCAUUAUAAUGCUUUUUUAAGUUUAAAACCAAAUAGUAAAUUGUUUCGGAAUGAUAUUGUUUCAGAGUAAUUGUACUAAUUUUAAUUAAAAUCAUUUCCAAACCUUUCCUUUUUUAAGAUCUUUCGAUAGAUUUGGUCUUCAUACAUAUGAGUUUACCAAUCAUAUGUAAUAGUUUAAGGUUUAAUGGUGAUUUAAAUAAUAUCAUAUAUAUUAUGAGGAGAGAUCCCCAAUCAGCUCACAAAUGUGGGAAGAUAUCAUAUAUUUGGUUCUCUUAAUUGUACUAGAUCUACGGUUUUUGUAACUAUGAUAUCACUAUCAUCAUUUAAAAUAGGAAGGAUUUUUCUCUAAUUUUCUGCCUAUUUUGUUCUUCAUUGUUCGUAAUAGCAUGUCCUCUCUUGCAUUUUUCCUCACAUGGCAAUAAAUCUCUUCUUUAUCGGCUUGAAAUCUAAUGAAUAUGCUAUGAAGUGUUAAUUUAAUUAGUUUGAGAUGUUAUGGUAUCGAUUACAAAAUCUCUUUCGUCUUUUGGCGAUUUGUUAAAAGAUAGGAUGGGAGAGGCCUGUAUGUUUUAAUUUUUUGUUUUUAUUUUUUUAACUUAUGAGUUAUAAUUUAGAAAGGUAUUAUUUGAAUGGGAUGGAGCUUAUGAUUAUCAAAUCAAACUUUAAUUUCAACUCUAGCUAAGUAAUGAUUUAUUCAUUAAUUGCUUCUAGAAUUUUGUGCUAUUGCUUUAGAGUAUUGAUUUGUUGUCUUCUAGUCCACACGAUGGAUUAUAACUCAUUGAUUGUCGCUCUUUACAUGAUUACAGAACUGCUUUAUUUAUGUAACCCUUUUCGAAUUUCCUUUUACAUACGUAGUAAAGUAUAUUGGUUUACUAAAAGAUUAGGAUAAUGAUACAUUUAAAUACUGAUGCAGUAAAAUGCUUCAAAAUAGGCGUUUUCAAAUACAUAAUACAAAUAAAUUAAAGACAGAAUAGUUUAUUAUAAGAAAUUAAUUAUAAAAGUGGGUUGAUCAUAUCAUGGAGAAUACAAAGUAAAAUAAGAAAAGCUCUCUCAAAAAGCUUUUGUAAAGAUGUUUGAAAAUGAAAGUAAAAGUGAACAUAACUGACUCUGUGGGAAACAAAAUAUGAUUGACAUGAAGCAUUAGCAACCCUAGCCAUCCCCCUUUUUUUUGUUUGUAGUUUUACAAUAUUUAUCCACUAAAAUUUUGUUUAGUUUUUACACCAAAAAAAUAUCAUAUAUUGGAUUACUAGUCUGUUAAAUAUGAUAUAGUAUGCAAUAUAAAGAAUUAUACAGUGGGUUAAACUACUUACAUAUGCACAAUUAGAAAUGAGGUUUAAUUGGACAACUUUUUAAAUUUUAGUUUGAUUUUUAGACAUGAAACCUGAGUCAUUUUUCCAAACUACACAACUGCAAAUGGUAUAUAACCAAACUUAAAUUAGUUUACUUAGCUUGAGUAAGCACUUGGUAAAAUUGAUGGAGUCAAAAUUUGAAUAAAAAGACAUGGCGAUUGAACUUUCUUUUUAAUUGUCCUAUGUUAACGUAGUGAAUGUGUGGAUUUGGACUUUUAGGACAUGUGCAUUAACAAUAGUUUGACUCAUGGAAAAGAGUUGAGAUCAAACACUUUCACAUGUGUUAUUAAAAACCAUAAUUAAAUUAAUCAUUUUGUACAUCUUUUGUAUGGUAAUUAAAAGAGGGUAGAGUAAAUCUACGUUAAAAGUAUCGUUUGGACUCAUCUACUUUUAAGUUUUAUUUUACUUUAGAACAUAUGCAUUCAAACAUUCAAAUUCUUAAUCCACUUCAAAUAAAAUGAGUCCUUACUAAGUUAAUUUUUUAAAAAACUCAAAAUAUAAUUUUAACAUAAGCAAAAUGUUACAAUGUAAACAUGUUUUUCUCAAAAUUUAUAAAGAGAAAUGGUAAUAAAAUGGAUAUUGGGUAGGAGUUUGUUAGAGGACUAGGAAUAGUGUAUGUGUUCAAAAUCUAUAUUGACAACCUUUUUAAUUAAGAUUUGAUAUAUAUAUAUAGUAUGAGUUUUUCUCACAACCAAAUAUUAUAAGUUAGUAUAAUAGAAGUAGUAAGUAGUAAAAUUUUAAGAAGAGAGAGAGAGAGAGAUGAAUGAUAUAAAAGAUGAUUAGUAGAGAAUAAAUAAAGAUGAUGAUUAGAGAAAGUGAGAAAUAGAUAAAUGGAAUAUAAAGAAGAAGAAAGAAAAGAGUGAUCUGAAUGGAUUAGAGAGAGGUAGGGGUAUAGGGAGAGGAAUAGAGGUAAUGUGGCCAUUCAAAUUUCCGUAUUCUGUUUUGCUAAAAAGUCCUUUCAACCCACACCCCACACCCCACACCCCACCCCCCCAUUUUAAAGCAAAUAUAUAAUAUAUUCCCACAUACGUACCUCUUCAAUCGCUUCCAAAUUUGCAAUCCCUCUACCCCUACCUUUCAAAUAAUAUUCACCCCACCCAUUGCAUCAUAAUUCAACUACCAUCAAUUUUUACUCACACAAUUUUCAUACCAAUUUUCUUUAUUUGUAUUUUGAAAAGAAAAAUAUAUUUUUUUUAAAAAAAAAGAAUGAACGACAAUAACGUGAGUUAUCAAUUUAAUUUCAUGAGAAAAUUUAAUUUUCAUCUUAUCCAAUUUUCUAAUUUUAUUGAAUCACAUGUUCAAAUUAGGGUUGUGUAAUAGUUGGAAGAUUAGAUUUUAUAUUAUCAUGUGAGAAAAUUAUUUUUAUCAUUGAUUUCAUAUUAUAAUAGGCUAAAAUUAAAUAACUUUUAGAUUUUUAGUUGCUUUAUCCAUGAAGAGGUUAUAUGAAAAUGAAUUUAAAUGUUGAUUGCAUUUUUAAAUAGAUAAAAGAUUUAAGAGUGUGUUUGAGGCUUCAACUUAAAAUGGAUUGAGUAGUCCGUAACAGCACCCUUCAAGCUUUUGGAGUGUGUUAUGAAAAUGGAGAAAAUAAUGUUAUUUUGAAUCGUUUUAGUAUGGUUUGUGAUUCUGAUGGUCGUUCUUGUUCGACGUUACUAUGCUUUGCUACAUGGUUUGUUUUAUUAAUCAAAGGGGAAGAUUGUUAAAUUUUUCUGUCUUGGAUUAUAUUAGCAACAAUAUGUUCUAUGACACUGUUACAUGCUGGGCAGUGGGUUUUGUAGGAUAUUUUUUUUCCUUAAUUUAUCAGCGUGACUUUGCAACUUUCAUGGUUUGUUUUUAUUGUUUACAGAGAUGAUUUAUUCCUUCCUUGAAUAUCUUUCCAAACCUCUAGCCAUAUAUAGUGUGUGGUCUUUAAUUUUAGGGUUAGUGGCCUUUUAUUUACAAAAAAGAAAAAUGUGCACUUAGGGUUUCAAGCUUAGGGAUUAUUGUGUGAGCCCCAACAUUCAUUUUUGUAAUAAAACCUUUUUGUUUUUUUCUUUUGGAAUUGUUUCAACAGAAUUUGGUUACUGAUCCUUCUGUCUCACUGUAUUUUUAGUGUUAGUUCUUUGAUAUUACUCUAUUUGUAUAGUUGGUUAUCUGGUUACCAACAUCAAGCUUAUCUACUUUAAUUAUUUCAACUAAUCUAAUUAAAACCACUACAAACAACAAAUUAGCCUAUAGGAAGAAUAAACACUAAUCUUAUAUACAUAGAAUGACCCAGACAAAAUGGAGUGAACAGAUACCCAAUUAUGAAUUGUUUGGAUUCUAACCGUAAUUGUUUGACUAAAUAAAGAAAAACAUAUACAUAGAGCAUAUAAAGGGAAAAAAAGAAAGAAAAAAAGCAAAUCCACCGAUGGUAUUUUCUUUCACGGACUCCCAGGAAACAAACAGAAAAUUGGAGCAGUAGGAAUCAGACAAUGGUCGUAUAUAUCCAUCCCUUAUUAUAAUUAUACCUUUUCAUACGAUGUCUUAUUCUCUCAAAUUCCAUUUAUAUUCAUGUUAUUCACCAAACCCCCUUCCUCUGAAAACAAAUUUAAUUGAGGACUAUCUUCAAUAACAAAUAAGUAAAAUAAUACUAAUACUAUGGUUCAAUGAUAUCAAACCAUGCAGACAUGUAAAAGCAACAUAAUAUGUGCCCUAUCUAAUUUUUUUCCAUAUAUCAGCCCUCAUAUAUAUAUGUGUGUGUGUGUGUGUUAAAUUAUAAUUUUGAGUUUUUCUUAAGUAGGAACCAUACACGAGACCCACUAUUUUAUGUAAGAGUCUCAUUAAGAAUAAUAUGAAGAUGUUAUAUGGAACAUAUUUAUUAAUCAAAAGAACGACUUGAAGAAGAUGUAUAAAAGGUGCAAUAGUAUACGUGGUUUUGUUGUCCACUCAAGAGUUAGUGAUAAAAAUGCUUACAAUUAACAAAGUUUUCGACAACCAAUUAUUAUGGAAGAUAUCAAUAUUAAGAUUAGGUUGGUUGUUAUCUUAGUUUUUUAAAUCAAUCCGUGGGUUUUGUAUACUGAUGAGAUGUUUCUAAAUAUUAACAUCUUUUUACUUUUAGAUGGGAUCAGUUUGAUAAUGAUAGAUUUUGAGUUUUAAAUUAAUUGUGUUAAGCAAUUUUGUAAAUUUAAAGUAAACGUCGAGAAUUGAACAUAAAAUAUAAACAAAAUUAAGUUUGUGUAAUUAAUACUAAAACAAAAUUGAAAUAAUGAAGGUCUGACACAAAAUCAUUAUCUUUCUCUUUCUUUCAACUCAGAGAGACUUUAUCUUUCUCUCCAUUAAAUGUAAGUCAAAGUGCAGAAGCUAUAUAUAUAUAGUGUAGUGAUUAAAAAUAGGAAAUGGAAUAUAUAUAUAUAUGUAUGUAUAUGUUUUAUUAUUUCUCAGGUUUCUUUUCCUAUAUAUAUAGGGAAUUGGGGCAGGGUUUAAUUUUAGGGAGUUGGAGCAUAAUUUUCUAAAAAAAUGGUUUCUUAUAUAUCUAUGUUCUCCAGGUGUGGUCAUGAAAGACAUCAGCAAAAUUUAAAAUCAUAGCAGUACCACCUUCACAUAUUUAAAAUCAUAGCAGUAGCUCUACUCUGGCAAAAAAAAAAAAUAAAUUUUAAAAAAUAUUUAAAACAUAUAACAAAAUUUGAGAUUAUAUCAAUAAUAGACAUUGAUAUGUAAUAAUAUCUUAGAGAGUAGUAGAAACCUAUCAAUUUCUAUCAAUCUAAAAUUUUGCUAUAAUUUAUAAAUAAUUAAAUUUAUUUUAUUAUUUUUAAAAAUAUCCCUAUAUAACAAUUUAUACAUAUUUUGUUUUAGUCUAAAAUAUAAAAGAUAUCUUUAAACUUUGUAUCUUGUGUCGUGUUAAAAUUAAUUGUAAAUUUUCAAAAGUUUAAAAAAUGUUUUUAAGCUUUUAGUUUUAGGGUUUUUAGUCAUAAAUUUGUGUUAGAGGAUUUCGACCAUCCUAUCUAAAAUUUAUGUUGAAAUUUUGUAAAUAAAUAUCACAAUUGUUACUUUAUAAGAAAAUAAAACGAUGAAAAUUGAGAUUUUAAUUUAAGAGUGUAAAGACAAAAAUUAACCAAAAUUAAAAUGACAAAAAGUAAGUAUUUUUAAAAUACUAAAACAAAAAUAUUGAAGUAAAAUUUGAAGUUGAAAUCAUUUAAUUAGACCUCACAAUUGGAUAAAUAAAUGCCUCCUGCCUACUGUCUAGCAACAAAUAUAUAUAUAUAUAUAUAGAUAUAUAUCUAUAUAUAUAUAUUAUAUAAUAGUUAAAGUUAAAGUUAUAAUUGAAACCAAAAUAAUGAAAAUGAAAAUAAACAAUUCACAAUUAUUUACCUAAUUCAUUCUUACUAUUAUUUUAAACUAAAACUUUAAUUAUAAUAACAAAUUUUUUACUCACCAUUUACUAUCUUCUCCGUCAAUCUCAAAACAAAAAUCACUCCAACUAAUCUCCAACAUUACCUGGAAAUGAUUUUAUAAUGCAAAAUAAUUUUGACAAUUAGAAAAAUAAUGUGAUUUUAACUAUCUCAAAAUGAUCACUUCCAAAACACUUUGUUUAGGUUCCUCCUAAGUUAGAGUUAGAGAACUUUUUCUCAACUAAUGAUGAAGUAUUAGGCUCCCCUCAACACCAAAGAACAAUCUUCUCAUGAAGCUCAUACUUCAACAACGAUCACAAGUACAAGUUUAAGAUCAACAAUAUUACUGAUUCUAAAUUAUAUUCACCGGUACACAUCUAUCCACCUCAAAAUAAAACUCUUCAAACAAAACACUAAAGCAAAAGCCUGCUCUUGAAAAAAUAAACAGCAAAAAAAGUAUAUAAUUAUAUACUCCAUUCAAAUAUGAAUAAUGACAAAAACCAACAAAAACACAACACCAAAACAGUGAUGUAUAAAUUUAAGAGAAGGUGAGGUGUAAUAUAAAAAAGAAUAUAUCAUAAACCUAAAUUCCUUAAAAUAAACAUCUCAUAAACCUAAACACAUGAGACAUUUUCAGGACCCUUCUCCAUUUUUCUCUUGCUCUCUUUCAUCUUCAAGUCUUAAGCCAUUUUUCGGUCUAAUUUAAGUUAAAGAUAAACCAGAACAUCAAUUGCAAACAUAAGUACAUCCAAAUAUUUAUUUGUUUUCAUUUAAAAUUAAUUUUAUUUUAAUAUAUUAUUUUAUAUAUCUUUUAUGACAACAAAUAACUGUCGCGAAAAGUGUUAUUCGAAAAAUUAUGUUUUCUUGUCAAAAACGUAGAUUUUUACCUUUUGUGACAGUUUUUUUCCUCCUUUUAAUUUUGAAAUGUACACAACUGUCGUAAUAGAUAGUUUGUGUUAUAGUGAAAGAAUGUAGGCUUUAAUCUAUAGUACAAUAUGAACAACAUAUAUUACAAAAAAAUGCAAAAAUGGAAGGAACGAAUAGUGGAUUGAAAUACAAGUUAGGGGAAAAUAGGGUAUGACUCUUCUCAUUUCAAAAUCUAAGCUUUCGCGUUACACUCUUAUAAAAAAAGAUGAGGUAUUGUACAUCUAAUGGCUAGGCUAUUUCUUGCCACUAACUCUCUAGGUUUUUACCGCACAGAGCCUAUUUUUGGUCCAUGAAGGCCUCUCUUGUGUGUGUGUGCGGUCCAUUCAGACCUCCUCUACUUGGUGAAGAUGAAGUGCUUUUAUAGGCAGUUUAGGCAAGAAGCCUCUCUUCUUUUAAUCUUGUCAGCGCCAUCUUCGGUCCUAUGAAGUCACAUCACUCCAACUACCAUCAUUGUUUUGUAGUGAGUGUUUCUCACAUGAUAAAAUGGUUCCUCGCCUAGAGGUGUUAAUUGAUAGGUGAGCUUCCAUCGUGUGAUCUAUGCACGAGGUGGCUUUUGUUGUUUGCUCCUUUCUUCUUGUUUACUUAUCAUGCAUUUAAACAUGAUAAUCGUGUAAAACAGGCAAGAUGCUUAUGUAAGUUGUAUUUUUAAAUACUUACGUGUUUACAACAUAAGUUACACGUUUUGAUCAUCUUCUUAUGCGUUUUGACCUUAUUAUUCAAAUAAAAUGGGCUAUAACAAUGGACAUUUAUGCGUAUUAUCACACAACAAGAAUAAGGCAUCCCACACCAGAACACACAGCAAGUGUGAGGCAUUACGUCGCAUAGGGUACAAAAGAUCAUUUCAUUUCGAACUUUAUCAAAUCUCAUGUAUUCUCCAUAAUACAUCAUUUCACCACAUCAUUCCAGCUCAUAGUAAGUCCAAUUCAUUUAUAAGUCAUAUGCAGUUUAAUAAUUGGAAAGCAUAAGAGAAAUCAUAUAGUUUAUGGUCUCAACAGAAAUAUAUUUAAGGAUUCAAACAUAUUUUAGAAAUCCUUUUCAUUUUGAAAACAUUUUAUUAGAAGAACCACUCACACACAACAGUCAAGUAGCUUUUUCCCCAGCUCCUAAGCCAAGAAUUACCUUGCAACUUCUUGUCGAUAUUCAAGCUUUCGAGAAUUUUUUAAAUCUUGGAAUUUUUCUCAAUUCUUUCUUAACUCAACACAUGAUAAAAGCAGCUUCAAAAUGGUCGGGCUUCAUCUAUUUAUAGGCCUCUUCGGUGACAUUUUUCAUAUAGAAAUGAUGACUUCUGUCAUCGGCAAGAAUGGUUCGAUCACAAGACUCCAUGUGUCUCUCCAAAUCCUUAUCCUCGAUUCAGUUGGGUGACAAGGUCAAAUCAAUCACUGACCUACUGCUACGCUACUACUUCCUGGUGAAGUAAGCUCAAAAUGCCUAACAGUUCGCUACGUUCUAUUUCCAAUAAACAUCCUUCAUCGUGUAGCCUCCUCACAAAAUGCGAGUUACUUUUAAAUGAUAGUCUCAUCGACAUACUUACUAUUCCUUCUGCAUGGAAAAACAUAAUCCAAGUCUCACAUGUUGUGGUCGUGGAAGCUCGUUUGGUGGAAAAUAAAUCUGAUUGGUUACUAAAUACUAGAGCAUCGAGGCACUUGUGCUCAAAUCGAGAGUUGUUUCAUGAUUUCCAAAAUAUAGCCAACAACGAAUGUGUGUUCAUAGGUAAGUCUGCAAUUGCAAAGGUACUUGAAAAAUGGAAUAUUCUCUUAAAACUAACUUCUGGAAAAACUUUAUCCUUAAGUGAUGUUCUAGAUAUAGCUUCUUUACGUAGAAACAUAGUGUGUAGUAGUUUGUUGAAUCGGGCUGGGCUUAAAAUUGCACUAGAGGUUGGUAAGGUUAUUCUAAAAAAAUAAUGACUUUGUUGGUAAGAGAUAUCUAGCUGAUGAUCUUUUUGUUUUGAACAUCAUGAAGGUUGCUUCUAAGAUUAAUAAAAUUAGUUUGAGUUCUACUUAUAUCGUUGAAUCAAUUAAUUUUUAGUGUGGUAGAUUAAGUCAUGUAAAAAAAUCUUAAAAUACUAAAUCUCAAUAUUCAUCUAAAUCACAUGAAAAUGAUAAAUGUUUUGUAUGUGUAGAAGCCUUUGCAAUAAAAAAAAAAAAAGAAAAACCUUUAAAAUCUGUCACUACUAGAAGCACUUAAUCACUCCAAUUAAUUCAUAUUGAUUUAGCUAAUUUCAAAAACAUUUUAAAUUGUAAAUGAGGUAAAAAUUAUUAUAUCUCCUUUGUUGAUGAUUUUUCUAAAUGUACAAAAAUUUAGCUAAUUAAUCUUUUAAAUGUACAAAAAUUAGUAGUAUGUUUUUAAAUAUAAAAUAAAAGUAGAGAAUCAAUUAGAUAAGAAGAUUAAAAGUGUUACAUUUUGUCCCAAUUUUCUCUAUGCAAUGGAAUGAAAACGUGACUGUCUAGACAUACGACGCAAGAUUCUCCAUAUAGUAACGAAUGGAACGACUAGUAAGUAGAACUAAGAACAUUCGCAAGAGUUUAAACACAAAAUGUGUACAUAGAUAAAUUUCGAGAACUUCGUUGAUACUUCAAAAAAAAGUACAUUUAGGACUUGUACAACGAUCAAUAUAGCAAUUCUAGCAUCAAUCAAAAUGACACUCAAACUUUCCUCGCCUAGCUACUCUAUGUGAUGCGAAUAAGCAGUGGUCACUACCAAGAUGAUGCAAUAAGGAGAAACAGUAGGAGAUAAAGACUGCAAGUUUAACGUUGGAUGUUCUUCGUUACCUAAAGAGGAUAAAACAAAACAUUUGAAAGGUUAGACAAAACAUCUAGUGAGUGAGAUCUUUAACAAAUACCUUAAAUAACUAGAUUGGCCUUAAUGCGACAAAUCCAUUUUAAUUAAUCAUAUUGAAACAACCCCUUUUUAAAGUCUUUCACUAUAACUCAUGGAAAUCAUUUCUUUUCCGUUAUUUCAUCAUAAUUCAUAUCGUGUCGUAUACAUUAUUUGUAUGAUAUACUCAUUUCGUAGAAUCAUCAUGUAUGUUUAAUUACAUCUUUGUACCCCUUUCCUUAGCUCAAGCGUUUACUACACUCUUUUGCCAAGUUGCAUCUAUUCAAAGUAAUCUCAACACAUUUAGCAAGUUUCAUCAAUUCUACUAUACAUAACGAAUAUUCCAAUGCCAGAUCACAUAACAAGCAAAGGGCAUCCCAUGCCAGAUCAUACAAUACGUAUGAGGCAUCCUAUUCAAGAUUACAUAGCAUGAAUAGGGCAUUCUAUUCCAAAUUACACGGCAAGAAUAGAGCACCUUAUCCCAAAUCACACAGCAAGGAUAAGGCAUCUCAUAUCAGAUCAUACAGCAAGGAUAAAACAUCUCAUACCAGAUCACACAGUAGGCAUGAGGCAUUCUCAUCGCAUAGAGUACAAAAGAUCAUCUCGUUUUCAAAUUUACACUACAAGAAAUUGCAUUUUUAGUGGCGGACCAAAACAGUCACUAAAACACAAAAACACGUCACUAAACGUUUUAGGGAUGCAAAGUCAUUCGUCGUUAGAACUGUCAUUAAAUCCACGCUGCUAAAAGUUUUAGCGACGCAUAAAUUACGCGUCACAAAAGAUAUAUUUUUAGUGACGUUUCCACGUUAGCAAAAGCUUACUUUUAGUAACAUAUGUUGUCACUAUUUAUUUUUUAUAGUGAUGCAUUGCACUCGCCACUAAAGGUAAUGUUUUACUCACGAAUAAUGUUGUUGCUGAAGUUUAAUUUGGAACCGUUACAAACACCUUUUGCGACGUAUUGAAGUGUGCCACUAAAAUUUCCUACAAUUUUUUUUUAAAAAAAAAACCAAUGUGAUAACGUGUAGAAAUAUCCGUUAUUAUAGCCUCUUAUACAGAAUAACGAGGCCAAAAUGCAUAAGAAGAAGGCCAAAAUGCGUAGCUUAUAUUGCAAACAGUAAGUAUUCAUCAAUAUACUUUACAUAAGUGUUAUACCUGUUUUACGUGGUUUUCAGUGUUUAAACGCAGAGCUAUGAACAUAAGAAUUCAUCAAUAUACUUGUUUUACGUAAGUAUUCAUCAUUAUAGCCUCUUAUAUUGCAAAUACGUAAGUAUUCAUCAAUAUACUUUACAGAAACAUUAUACCUGUUUUACGUGGUUUUUAGUGUCUAAACGCAGGGCUAUGAACAAAAAAGAAGUUGGCAAAUUAUAGAAUCUUUCACAAGAAGACCAAAUCACAAAGUAAGAAGCAGCUUGCCAGACGACAAGAAUGGCAGUUUGAGAUGAUGUGACUUGCUACAGACAACUUUCAACGGUUGGCACUGACAUGUUCAAAGGAAUAGCAAUUUUCCGUUGAAAAUUACCUAUAAAAAGUCUCCUUCACCAAGAAAAGCACGCUUGAAUGAGUCAUUUUCAGAUAUCUAUUAUCUUUUAUGGUGCCUGAACGGGCCAAAGCCUAGAGAAUGAGAGGGAAAGGAAUAGCCUUUCUGCCAUCUGUAAAGAGUGGUUUUCUUCUUCUUCUCUGAUCAUACUGUAAAUGAGAGCAUAGAGUCUAAGUGGUGAAGGUUCUAUUUCCCAUUCCCCCUAACUUGUAUAUUCUUUCUCAUUCUUCUGUCUUUAAUUUGUGUAUUCUUUGUGUAAUAUUUAUAUUGUUCAUAUUGUAUAAUGGCUGAAGGCCUACAUUCUAUAUAUAUAUAUAUAUAUUACAUGUUUAUACAUUUUCAAUCCAUCAUGUCUCUAUUUUUCAUCAGUCAACGUGUUAUUGAUAGGUUAAGUUAGUGAUAAGUUCUUGAUAGAAAGUUUCACUUAUCAGUCUUAUCACGUUAGUUGAGCUAUACUCAUCGCUUGGCCAGUGUAAUUCGCCAACUACUCGAGAGGGUAAAUACCAAGGACAUGGCUAACGUGCGCAAGAAAGAGUUUUCUCUUCCUUUUUUAGAUAACUUUCAUCACUUGUAUCCCAAAAGAUGAAAAAGUAUGAACACCAGGGGCCAAGAGGCUGUUGUCCUUAAUCACGAAGUUUUAUACGUCUCAUAAGUGAACUCUUCUAGAUAUAUCUCACCUAAUCACCCUUAGUCAUAUGGAUCCCGAAAGGUGACCAUGUAUGGCGUUUAAAGACUUUGAGAGGAUCACGUAUUAAUCAUAAAAUGGUUGAGUAAGUUGUAUCACAUGAAGGCUAUUGCAUUGCUUAAUCAUAUUAUAAUGCAUAGACAUUCUUUCACUCUUUCUCUCAUACAAGUUAGUUCACAUAUUUAUCUCGCAUCCAUUUCCACCCCUUUAUAGAUUCUCUAGGCGUAUUUAAGUAGUGUUAUUUUUAGUAUUAUUCUUUUAUAUGUUAAUUAUUUAUUAUUUUAUACCGCCUAAUUGAGAAGUAGAUUCUAGAACUAAGAUUUGAUAUCAAUUCCUUGUGUUUGACUCUGGAUCACCAAGAUAAACCUAUUACUUCGCUUAUAUUUGAGCAAGCAGUAGGAAAACUUGUACUCAACGAGGACUCAAUAAUUAUGCGAUGAAGAGGUAUAUAGUGACUACUUUGUAUACAGUGAUCAUGACCAAUAACUUAUCGCAUAGAACUAAUUGCGUACUUAGGUAGUACUGAGCCCCCGAAUGGAACUGCGAAGAAGGGCAACUCCAUCCGUUGUUACGAAGAGAGUGAUCACAAACACUCUAUACGAACCACAAUGCUUUUAAAAUUAUUUUAUUAUAUAAAAAUAAUAUCUAAUUUAUUAUAUAAACCUAUUAUAAAAUAUCAAAUAUAAUUAUAUUGCAUCUAUGUUGCAGUCCAACAAUUAUCACAUCUCAUAUACUCUCCUCACACCGUUUCAACAAUAAGUCCAAUUCAUUUAUAAGUUAUAUGCAUUUUAAGGAUUUGAAAACAUAAGAGAAAUCAUAAAGAUUAUGGACUUGAUAGAAAUGGAUUUAAGGAUUUAAAUACGUUUUAGAAAUCUUUUUUAUUUUGGAAACAUUUAUAAGAAAAAUCACUCACUGUUACAAUCAAUUUGCUCUUCCUCCUAACUUCCUCGGUCAAGAGACUCCUUGCACAUCUUGAAAUCCUUGUUGAAAAUAACUUCAUUCUGUUUCUUUGAAAUCGUGAAUACUUCCUCGAUCCUUUCUUAAACAAUAUCAGGGUAUAAGAAACUUCAAAUUAACCUGGAUUUCUUCUAUUUAUAGGUCUCCCUUAAUGAAUUUUUUCAUAACGAAAUUAUUACCCUUAUCGGCUGUGAGAAGUGACCCAAUCUCAAAAUGUCACAUGUUCCUAUCCAACCCUUAUCCUAAACUUUGAUUGGGCGACAGGGUCCAAUCAAUUACCAAUCUAUUGACAUCAAGGUCGCAUCAUUGUUUCUCGAUGAAGUAGCUCAGCUUGCACUGUUGUUCAUCAUGUAACCUUUUUUACGUAAAGACCUUCCAUUGCCUACUCUUACGUAAAACGUGUUUUGCCAACAUAAGUUUUUUUGCACAAUAUCCAUACCGUAGGGCCUUCAUUGGGUUGGUGGUACGUGAUCACAACCUUACAAAAAGAUUAAGGUCAGAUAAAGUUGGAGAAGAUAGAGAAAACUUUCUUAAAGAAUUUUGUGAGUUACACCUUAUUCUUCAAAACAAAAUGGUAUAACAUAACAUAAAAUAAAAUUAUUAAGAAAAUGAUGAAUGUUAUGCUUUUAAGUUUUGGAUUAUCUAACAACAUACGAGGUAAACAUGCACAGUCUACCUAUUUUAUUCUUAAAAGAGUUCCUCACAAAAGACUGGAAAAAACACCAUAGCAUUGAUCCUUCGCACCUUUCAGUCGUUUGGAGGCUCUUUGAAUUGGAAGAGCAAAGAAUAUUGCGAAAAAGAAGGUUACACACCUAAUCUCAACUACAUGAGAGAGUGUAAGGGUGUUUAGCUAAGGUAGUAAACCCUGUAUUCAAGAAAUCUAUGAUAGGAUAUAAAAUUUUUUACUGUGUUUAUCGAUUGUGCUCAAAACAGUGUUGCUUCUAGAUUUAUAUGCUUGAAUGAUAAAUUCAUACGUGAAUAUGGAGAUGUUGAACUCUUUGAGCACAUUUUUCCUUUUAAAAAGGGAAAAUUUGAAUCUUUUAGAAUGUCUAACCAUGAAAAUGUAUGCAUUUGGCCCAUUACGUACUUUGUCUAGUAGUAUACAUAAAGCUGAAGAUGUUAGUACUUCUUAAAAAAAAAGAAUGAAAUAAAACCUAGAAAAAGUAAGAGACGGAGAAUUGAGAAAAAAAUUUGUAUGGGUUUUUCUACUACCUUUUUAGUUGAAAGGCCAAAUGAAUUGACUAUCAGUUUGCAGGUAUGUGUCUAAUAGAUGAGGAUCCUAAAACCUAUCAAGAGGCGUUAGGCUUUCUAGACUCAAGUUUUUGGAAGGAAGCAAUUAAGAGUGGAUUAGAUUCACUUACCAUGAAUCAAACUUGGGAGUUGGUAGAUCUUCCUAAAGAUAGUAAAUCUAUAAGAUGCAAAUGGAUCUUUACAAAAAAAACAAUACAUGACAGAUUGAUUUGAAAGGUACAAAGCUAGGUUAGUAGUAGUAGGAUACAUUAAAAAAAUAAGUUAUUGAUUACUUUUGUAGGUCUAGAAAAUAAAGUGUGCAAGCUUAAAAAAUCUUUUUAUGAUAUAAAAAAAACUCCCAAAUAAUGAAUGAAAAGUUUAAUAAAACUCUAGUAAACAAUGUGAAACGAAUUGAAGAGUGAAUCAAGAAAUCAUAAUUGAAGUAAAUGAAAAAGUUGAAGAGAUGAAAUGCUUGAAAGUUGAAGAGUUCCUUGAACAUCCCAAAAGUCAUAAAAUUAAAAGGAAUUAUGCAUUUGUGUGUUUUCAUUUAUUACGGUAGUUGAAAAGGUAUAAAAUUAAAUGUUGUGACCUUUCAUUUAAUAUUUUAAUUAGCAUAAAUAGGUGAUAGAACUAAGUCAUGCACAGCGGAAAAAGAAUCGAAUUUCUACCCUAAUUGCCACAAUUAACAUAUAACCAUAAACUAAUCAAAUUAGGGUUUUAAGAAAUAUUACCUUUGAAGCUUUCAAAAGGUUCGAUAUCUUCUUACCAAUGCUAGCCGAGACCACCACUAGUACUCAACUGCUAUCCUCUAGACAAAGAACCGGGUUGUGGGACCCAAUUUUGGUGUAGAAAGUAAUGGAGAUAAAAAUGGGAUUGGAAGGUUUCUUUUUUCUUUUGUUGAGAUUAUGAAAAUGAUCAAAGAGGCAAAAGUCUUUUCAACAUUUGAAAACACCUCUAUUUAUAACCUAAUUACAUGCAAAAAUGCAUGAAAUUCAUUUGCCAAAUCUCAACACCUAAUGUUCCACUAACAAUUAGUGGAACUUAGUGGGCUAGGUGUCUAUAUCUCAUAUAGCCACAUAUCCCACUAAGAGUUAGUGGGAUUAUCCAACAAAAUGUUGGAUUUUCCCACUAACUUAGUCCAAGGGUAAAAUGGUCAUUAGAUAUUUCUAGUAGUCAAAAGUCAAACUUUGACUUUUCUAAGUCAAAAGUCAAUAUUUUGACUUUUUACCAUUUUGUCCGUCUUGACUAAUUCCAACCUCCCGAGCAUGAAUCCGCAUUCAUUUUUCCAAAAUUCAAAUCACAUUUGAAUAUAAGGCCGGUCAAAGUUUGACUUUUCAAAGUCAAAAGUCAACAUUUUGACUUUUUACUAUUUUUGACCAAUUCCGAGCUUCUUAGUAUGAAUCCGCAUUCAUACUUAUAGUAUGUAAAACAUAAAGCUCUAUUUCUAAUUAGAAGACCGACGACUAUAUCACUGUAUAUGUCGGUUUCCCUUUCUUCUCCCAAUUCGAACAAUUCGACUUAUUUCAUAAAUUCGACUUAUUUCAUACACUGUUCUAAAGUUUAAUCCAUAUGAGCUAGCAGAGGAACCUAAUGGACCUAUAGAUCAUGGGCUCCAACGAUUCAAGGUUAACUAGCUAAACUCUUUUAAACCGAGUUAAUCAACAUUCGUUAACUAACGGGUCAUUCCACUAAAGUCCCGUAGUUGCACUCCCCUCACUAUAGAUAUAUUUGUGUCCAUUUGAUAAAACCAUAAUCAGUAAGUUAAUCCUUCACAGGUUGCUCGUAACCUUGGCUGGGUCAAAAUACCGUUUUACCCCCAAGAUUACAUCUUGCUCCUUAAGUCCCACUAAUCCACUAUUGAACAAUUGGUUUAAGGUUCAACCUAUAAACUUAAUCCCUCUCGGGCCAAUGAGAGGGUGGGGCCCCUUGUUCAAGACUUGGAUUCAGUGCUUAAGAGAAGCAACCUAUCUACUAACCCUAAAGCGGGUAGGAGUGAAUUCCAUCUUGUACCCUAUGUUCCCAGCUAUCCACCCGAUCUUACCCCUGAAAUGGGAGGCUUAUUGGGCCAACGCUGAUGAGCUGCCCUCACCUAUGUAGAUCUAAGGAUAAUCUCGUGUGAACAGGAGUUCAUAGUUAACUCAGGAUUAAGACUAAGUUACCUAGGUCAUCAAUAAUUGAGAUAGUCAGUUUUAAACAGUAAACGGUGUUAUAACGUAAAAAAGACUAAUUCAUGGUUCAGUCUUAUGUAAACAUUUUACAUAGGAUGCCCCCACUUUCAUGUCUCUACAUGAACGAUUAGGAUCACCUCGUUUGUACAACAAAGUGGGCCGCAUCCAUAGUUUCUCUAAAUAAGGCGCCCAACCUUUAUUUCAUAUACUAUAGACUAUUUAGGCUAUAUACUCGAACUUGAUCCACGUUUAUGUUUACACAUAAAGUUCAAGUUUAUUCAAAAAUAGCCUUGGAACUUGAUUUAUUGGAUUUAAGAUUAUAAUAUUUAAUUUCUCAAUAAACAACUUUAUUGAACAGAAUAUGAUUUACAAACUACGAGUUUUAGGACAAAAAAUUCCAACAAUAGGGUUAUAAUUUCCACAUUUAAAAAAAAAUUGGAUGAAUGAAAUCUGAAAAAUUCUAAAAUGUAAAAUUUUGUUCUUGUGUGCUCUUGUGAUAGAAUGCCCGAAUAUUUGGAGCAUUCAAGUGAGAAUUGAUCUGUAUUGCUUGUGGAGUGCUUUCAAGAUUGAGGGUCGAUGGGAGUUUCUAACUUUGUCAGAUUCUUGGUUCGCUAGAUCAUCUAAGUAACUUGAAUCUCUAUCUUAGGGGUUGAAAUUAAAUUGGUUUUGGAGCUGUUGGGGUUAUGUUCUUUGAGUCUUGUAGUUUAACAUGGUUCUUAGAUCCAAUGCCAGAGGUUUCGUAUCACAAUGAUUUCAAAGUGAAUUUCUCUUAUUCUUACGAUUACACAAAAUUGUUUGGAGCAGAGUGUGUGAUUAUUUGUUUAUAUGCUGACAUGUUAUUGUCAUCACACUUUGAAAUGAAAGAUUUAGUAAAAGUUGACAUAAUUCUUGGUGAAAAAUAAGAAAGAGUGAGAAUGGAUUCUCUUUUUGUCAAUCACACUACAUAGAAGAACUUUUAAAGAAAUUUGAUAGCUUCGAUGACACUCCUGCUAGAACACCUUAUGAUGCAAGUAUAAGCCUUAAGAAAAAUAAAAGAAUAGUGUUUCUCAAUUUGAAUAAGCAAAGAUCAUAGAGAGUGUCAUGUUUUUAAUGAGUUACACAAGACCUGAUAUAACAUAUGUUGUGAGUAGAUUGAGAUACACACAUAAUUCUGAUAAGGAUCAAUGGAUUGCACUCCAUCGUGUGUUAAGGUACCUUAAGGGCAAAGUAGAUCAUUGUUUGCAUUCUAACAAAUUUCUUAUUGUUUUAGAAGGCUAUAGGGAUGCAAAUUGGAUAAUAGAUAACGACGAAGUAAGCUUCACUAGUGGAAAUGUGUUCUUACUAGGAGGGGGAGCCAUAUCAUGGAAGUUUUCAAAAAAGACUAUUAGAGCUAGAUCCACUAUGGAAUCAGAGGUUAUCACUCUAUAAUUAGCAGGACAAGAGAGGUUGAAUGACUUAGAAGCCUAUUGAGGGAUGUACCAUUGUGAGGUGCAUCAGUACUAGUCUUGUUACAUUGUGACUCACAAGUAGCCAUUGGAUUUACCAAAAAUAGUGUAUAUAAUGGCAAAAGGAGACAUACGUCUUAAAUAUGGAGCUUUAAAACAGUUGGUGAAAGGAGGAAUUAUCUCCUUGUAAUUUGUGAGGUCAGAAAGAAACUUAGCGGAUUCUCUAACCAAAGGUCUAAUAAGAAAAAUAUUUCAAAAAGCCUCAUUAAGCAUGAUACUCAAACUCAUGAAAAACUCCAUAGCCCAUAGCUCUUUCUUUGGGUAGCUCUAGUAUAGACUUGAUGGAGGUAACCAAAACCAUAAAGGUCUAUAGCCCUUCUUUGGGUGGUUUUGGUGUGAACUUGAUGGACUAUGUCACACCCUGCUUUGCAUACAAACAAAAAAAAAAUGUGCCAUGCGGGAAGCGACGUGAUUUAGAUUAAACAUUUUUAAACUUGGACUUAUCACCUAGUUCACUCAAGUAACAUGACACUAUAAAACUUAACCAUUACGCGAUAAGAAACAUCAUAACGCUGUAGAGAGUACAACAAACAACUUCUUUUAUUAGAUUUAACCAUGCACCAUACAACAUUAUACAUAUAUCCUUGAUCAAAAUUACAACAGCUUAAACUAAACAUCUUCCUCGACUUCUAACUUCAAACGCCUUGCUAGCUCAUCCUACCUUCUUAGCCUAGCCUUAACACUUGAACACAUGGGAAGGAAAUUUUUAAAAAUAAGUCAAAAGACUUAGUGAGAUUUUAAGAAAAAUCCUUUGAAAAUACAUUUCAAAGACAAAAACGUUUCAGUUCAAUUAGGCUUAUCACCUCAUUUCAUAAUAUUCAAACACAUAACACAUAUUAGCCUUGUAUCUUUCUCGUCGAGACCAUGAACCAUUCUCAAUGCCAAGACUCAUCGCCUUGUGUUUAGACUACUCUGAUGGUCUUUUCAUCAGUAGCAUCCAGGAAUCCCUUGGUUUAUUCCUCGUUGUUCAGGCCGCCAAACAUAAUACACAUCUUUUAUGCAUUGACUAGCUUCACUCCACCAUGCAUACCUUUUCUACAUGGUUGCCUAUACCCUAUUGUUCAUAUAACAGUUAGCUCAUUGAUAGGAAUAAGACUAAUAUUUUGAACACAAUCUCACAUCCAUUUAAACAACACAACUUUCUUUAAACAUAAGCUUUCAUUUGAAAAUAUUCAUGCAUAAAACACCAUUACAAUCCAACAUGAUGUUUAAAAAAAAAGCUUUAAAGUGCAAAACACAUUUCAAAGUCACUCACAAAAAUUUGAUUUUCCUUCAACUUAAAACGCCUAACUUUAGCUGCAGCUCUUCCUUUUUUCUUAGAAUUUCCCUUAACAACUUCAUCACUUUGAAAAAUCUUCAGAAAAACUAACACCCUUAUAAAUCCUUUUCAGUUUUAUUUAUACUAAUCUUAAACGUGAUUAGUCAUCCUUAAGCUUCUUUUAAAAUUGUCAGCUCUUACUUAUAACUUUACAUGUGUAAGAUUAGUAUUUUACUUAAUCAUGCUUAACCCUUAAUCUUACAUGUAAAUUUUUGUCCAAUCAAGAUUAGGCAUCCCGCUUGGUUUCAUUUCGGGUGGUACUUUCAAAAUGCAUAAUAGUCCUUAAACGCCUAACGUCUUCUUGUCUCACCUCGUCCUAACAUAGACAUCAAAAUGCAAGCUUCUUCUCAUAACGCUUAUUCAACACUUAGUCAAAAUUUUGACCCUUAUGUUCCAAACAAAGGUCUCACAGACUAGUUAAAUUUUCAUAGUUCAAUUUUGAGUGGUUUGCCUUUGACAAACUUAAUGAAGUUGGUCUAAGUAUGGACCACGUGAAUAGUCUUCAUAGCUUAGUUGUGAGUGGUCUGCUACGAUAAACUUGAUGAAGCUAUAAACAUGAAUGUGAAAGUGGGGCCGUCUUGUACGAAAGAGUUAUUUUUCAGAGUUUUCACGGUAACCAGAGUUUUAUGUGCACGAUCAUAAAUAACACUUUAUAUCACGAAAUCAAGAAAAUUUAAGAAGUAAAAACGUGUUGUAUGGUCCCAACCUCAGUUAGUUAAGAAGUAAAAACGUGUUGUAUGGUCCCAACCUCAGUUAGGGAAAGUUCAAGAGGCAAAAACUCACUCUCACUAAUAAAGUUGUUGCACCAAUUCAAAUCAAAAUAUACCGAUACUUGCGUUUAUCUUCUAAUAGCUCAUGAAUUCUUUUAGAGUUUUCUUUUUCCUCUUUAUUUUUCUUCUUACCAUACCAGCCAUUCGUGGAGGAUGGUUGAAAAUGAGUUUGAGCUUAAGAUCCAUAACAAAAUGAAAAAGUUGUUUUUUGAAAGAAAGGAGGUAAUCGUCCCACAUUGGAAGAUUUGUGUUACUACACACUUGCUAAACAUAGGAUUUCCAAUGUUGGACAAAAUUCAUAUUUCACAAACCACUUUUCAUUACAACUUUAGAUUUCACAAACAGAACAGUCAUACCAAGUAAUAAUUUUGGCCGAUCAAUUUCUAUUCCAUAUAUCUUCAAGUUCUUAAUAGUUUAAUCAUUAUACUUUCAACCAUUGUCAAUUUUUAUUUUCUAACUACCUAAUAAUUUUGAUUUUAUUAAAAACUACCUAAUAAUUAUAUAGGUUAUAACCAAGUUUGGUUCUUAAUAAGGUUAAUUAUAGUCUGUACACAAGUUGGUUCCUAAUAAGGUUUAUUAAUAUAAAGUAUAAGAAAUUUUAUUCAAGUCUGUAUGAACAGUUUGGACUACCACUUUCACCAAACACAAAAAAAAAUCUUCAAAGGACAUUGAAAUCCUUUGAUCAAAUUUUUUUAGUGCUCCAGAUUAGUGGCAGUAUGAACACAAUGGACCUGUAACUUGGAUCCUCUUCAAUUUAACAAUCAGUAGGUAUUGUAAAUAAAAUAAUCAAAAUAGCACAGUCAAAAUCGAAUGAACGAAUUGGUAAAUAUUAUAUAGCUAAAGUAUAUUGAAACAAACAAUAAUACAUAAUCAAUGGGCAAUGGGCAAUGGGCAAUCUUAGGAUUGCGAAUUCUAAACCAACAAUAGGCACUACAAAUAUCAAUGAUGCUACAACGAAUAGAAGUUUUGAAUACUCUCCAGCAAUAGCUGCAAUUGCAGACUGGAUUCAAGAGCUUCUAAACCAAUUUACAAUGAUACAUAGGAAUAGCCAACACACAAAGUGAAUACAGUGGUGAUAUUCUGAUAUUACCCCACAGAAAUUGGUUAUUUGUUUGUGAGAAGCUGAAAGACAAUGGAGGAAGGAUUCAGAAAGGGCUAACCAUUCGUGCCAAUCUUAUCAAUACCUCUGGAACAAGGCGUGGUUUUGGUGGCGCCAUAGAAUCCUUUGCAAGAGCUUCCUCGUCUCCAGCAUGUAAUAUGGCAACUAUUUGAUCAAAAAGUUCAUAAUUGCCUCCACGAAACGGAUCCUGAAAAAAGAUGACAAGAAGCUUCACAAAAUGACUAUGUAGAAAGAUGCAAGAAGGAAUCUCUCAUCUUCCCAAGUACAACACGAAACGAAGCUAACAAUCAACUUUUUUUUUUCUCUUCCAAUAUAAUGGUUAAGUUCCUCUCCUUUUUGUAAGGGUAUUUAUACAGGUAUACACACUUUUAGUUAAAUAUAUCAAAUCAGUCACGAGUUUGUUAAAGGACUUGUAGAAAAUAAAAACAGGCAGAUAAAAAAGAUAAACCACCUUUUUUAUCCCUUCUCUUCCUAAAUUUUUAAUGACAAUUUUGUGAAAGUCAAAAAACCUAAAAAUGUAAAUAAUGUAUUGCUCUGGUCGAUCUUCCUCCAUAGCAUAAAUACAGUGGAUAAAUUUUAGAGAAAAUGUACGCAUGAGAAAAUAAUUAUCUUUUCCCUCAAAGAAGUUUGUGGGUGUGUGCACAUGUCAAACUUACGCUGAGUCACUCCUGUAGGAGGGUUAUAAAGUUCAAAUGAGAGUAACCAAAAGACAACAUCAGAAGCUACAAUAAGGCCUUGAGGUCAGCUUACUUGAAGGAACAAAUCUGUGUGAGUUUUUCCCUCAUAGAGAAAUAAGUCAGCUUGUGCCCCUACUUUUCGAAGUGUCUCCACGAAAGUUUCACUGAAAAUUUGGAAUUAGCAUCUGAAAGUUAAAAGGACAUAGAACUUAUUCAUCCGACGACCAUGAGAAUAUGAUUCUAUUUUUUGAUGCUUGAAAUUGGGCAUAAUCGGAUUCCUUUACUUUUAUUGGUUUCAUACCUAUGCAUAAUUUAUAUACUGAGCAGGAGCUGAUUAGCAAGCAUCUAUUAUAAGAUUCCAGAAAAGCUAUGAGAUCUUAAUAAAUAGAAGACCGAACAUACUUUUUUCCCUUUCUGUUCCAAUUACACACUUUACACCGCCAAAAAUAUUUUUUUUCACAUAAUCACCCAUUUAUACACAAUUAAAGGUUACAACACUUCACCAUUCCAAAAAUUAAAGAUAAUAGGUCAUUUUACAUAUUUUAUUAGGGUUCAUCUGAUAUCAAUUCAAUAAGAGAAAUACACUAACCUGGCAUCAAAUGGGAUUGAAUAAUCACCCGUGCCAUGGAAAAGAACAAAAGGAGGUAAACUGGAAACAACAUCACUAACACUAGGAUCUUGGAUUCUUAUUUCUGGGGAAAACUGGGACAAAGAUUCUUCACCUUCCAUUAUGCUACAGAGAAUAAAAGUGGCUCAAAUUGUGAAAAGGAAUAAGUUGACAUAAACUAGUCAGUUAAUGAAGAGAAAAUAGACAUUUAGAACCUACCUCAAAAAGACAGAACGAUAUAGACCCCUACUAUCAAAGUGAUCGACUAGUUUCCACAAGUUAUACCUGUUCACAGAAUUCAGAAAAGAAAACUUGAGUACAGGGUCCUCAUUCAGAAGGAAAAUUGCACAAUGAUCAAUAACUGGGACUUUAUAAAGUAAUGAAAUAAAAAUUGAAAGAGCAAUGGUCAACUAAGGGUGUUUCUACUACUUUCCAGCAAGACUACAUUUUGACUAAUAAACUGUUGUGAAUUCAGUCCUCAAAUAUAUAGGCUUCAGCUUUUCAAAUCUAUAGAAUGCACGGUGUUCCCCUUGUCCCCUCAUAUAGAUAAUAGAAUUUGAGAGGUGUUACAAGAUUUAUAAACCAUUGGCAUGAAAAAGGAUCAACCACCUGGAGGCCUUUCAGUUUAUAUCAUAACGUCCCUUGGGCUAUACUUUGAAAGGAAAGUAAAAGAUUUUACCCAGCCAAGAGCCAAUACAAAAAAUGAUUAUAGAAUCUAUUGAAUGGGAUGAAUUUGUUGUUAAAGCCCCAGAGAUGAGAAGUUGAGAGGUUACACAACAACCCGCCAUUUUUAUUGCAAAAAGUCCAGAAAAAAUAUUGACGUGUAUAGCUCAAAUUCUUCUCAUCCUAUUCUAUUCUAUUCUGACUGGCACCUUCUGAAGCACAUACAAAAUGUACUUCAUCUAAGUGGUCUUUAUAAAAGAAGAAAAAGUUUAGGAUUGGCGACAAAGCAUGCGAUGUCCAAUCAUAGACAAACCAAAGAGGCUUGGAAUUAUUGAUCAUAUAAUUUCAUGGGAAUUCCUUAAAUGCCACAAGAAAGACGUAGAAAAUUACCCUCCAGAUAAACCAAAAUAAGCUUUUAUUUGGGAGACACUCCAAUCUACACUCUCUCCUUUUCUAGCUUCUUUGAUUGCUUGAUCCAAGAGGGCACAAACGGAAAUAUGUGCACCAGCUGAUUGUCCCAUCAGAAAGAUUCUAUUAAGAUGGGGCAAAAUAAAAUAAUAAGGUGGUGAGCAUAUGAUGAAGGAUGAAAAAAAUGAAGAAAUCAUUCAGUCACCUGUCCAGAUCUCCUCCAUAGUCUGCUAUAUUCUUGCAUACAAAUGAAAUCCCUUGAGAAACAUCUUUCACCAUGUCACUGAUUGUGCCCUGAGGAAAGUUCCUGCAAAGUACAGGGUUAUGAGAUUAAGAUAGAAAAUCAAGACACGGUCAUAACAAGGACAUGUUUAUUAAAAUAGCACUCUUCAAGAAACUACUAUUUCUGUGUCAGAGAGAAAUUUGAAGUUUCCUUAUGCAUUUAUAGAAACAAGUUUCCUGUAUUUAACUCUCAAAGUUUAUUACGUCAGCUAAUUAUGUUUAACAAUCAUUUGACACAUACCUAAGAAGUUUCAAACUUAUAUUAACUCCAACAACUAGAUUUGACAAUAUCCAUUGUACCAAUAAAUAGAGCCCAUGUCCAAGAAACUACUAGUAUUAUCUGUACUAAUAGAUUUGUCAGAGAAAGUGUCCAACAUGUUGGACACAGAUACAUCACCCAAACUAAAGGUUUAACUUCUCUUAGGUUAACGCAUGCCAUUCAGUCAAGUUUCUUGCACCCAUCAUUCUUCAUUCAAAUAAGUCAAACAGAGAACCAUAUAAACCACCAGUAUCCCCCCUGCCCCACAGAAGAAAAUAAUAAUAACAAUAAUGAAGAAAGGAAGAAUGAGAAGAGUUUAAAAAGUUCAUCGAAGUAAUGCUUGAACAUAAUGCAUUACCUAUAGUCAAUUGAGGCUACAAUGACGUCUCUCUCUGCCAACUGCAGUCCUAAAAGUGCUCCCCAUGCUUUAUUCCUAAAUCAUUAACAAAUAUUAAUAUUGUAUUUCCAGAAUGGGAAACUAAGACGCAAAAAAGCUUCCAUGAAGAUAAUUAAACAAAUCAAUUUGCUAUUUUGGUACAUGUCCUUCCAAAAAAAAAGAGGUAGUUUGGCCAUUUUAGUUUUUUCAUAAUUCAUAAGGUUUCCCGAGGAUGUAAGUUUGUCAUUCCCCAGACCCAAAUGUUUACAAAAAGAUAGAAAAAGAUAUAAUUAUUAUGUGGUUAUUGCAGCUAUAGCCCUCCUGAAGAGAACUUAGAAAGGAAUAUAAUUUUUUAGUACCCUGACUAGUUAUCUUCAAGAUUCUCGAUUUUUUUUCCUUCCUAUCCUCCAUUUGGAUUACCCAAAGAGCUUUCGAAAUCAUCCUUCUUUAAUUAAGGACAACAAAAAAACCAGUGUACAGAAAAGUCUAAAGAAUAAAACAUGUAGUGUAUUGUAGUAAUAAAAUUGUAUAGCUUAGAAGAAGAGCAUCUGUAAGACCUGAACGAAGCCAAUGCCAAAAAUCAUUUUAGGAUGGACAUGCAUAAUCGUCUACAGUCUACACUUACCCAAUAAUCCAAGCUCCACCGCUAACGAAUAUCACAACUGGUUUCUUUUUAUCAGUAUUUGUAGGUAGAUACAAAUCCAAGCUGAAACAUCAUCCAAAAGAAGGAUAGAAAAAAAGUCAUGAAUUGGAUAAUGGUUGACGUAGAAAAAGGCAGACUUAACAAUUACCUGUUGUAGAACACAUACCUAUUUCUCGGUUGAGUUCCAUAAAUAAUAUCUCUCCGAACCUGACUUGAGAAGUAAUAGUCAUACAUAACUGUUGUAAACAAAAGGUAAUCAGAUACGUGAAUUAAUCCAGGACAUGCAAAUGUUUCCAAUAAUAACAUUUCAGUCAAAUUUCUGUAAGUCGAGAUGGCAACAUUAAUAUGAGGGGAUGAUAUUUUCUUUCUUUAGACUGUACUAAAAUGUUGAAAUGAUGGCCAAAAUUACAGGUUGUGUGAUCACAUUGAAUUUCUGUAAGUCGAGAUGGCAACAUCAAUGAAUUUAUUAUCAGAGAAAUUCAUGGAUACUUAAGUUUCAAAUAGCUGAUUAACUUAUAUUUUUCCAACAAUUUUUCUAUUAUAAUAAUUAUCUUGGAUUUCGUUCAUCCUCUCAUUUCUCUAUCUACAUGUAUCUCCCUUUAUCCUCCUUCAUCUUUUAGUUUUUUUAUUAUUAUUUUUUACAUCUAAUUUAAACAACUAUGGUUUUCAUUUUCUUUUUCCUUCAAAAGUCAAAACUUUCAUUGAUAUUCAGAAAACUCUGGACUUAGUACUUCUAUCUAGAUUGAUGUUGAAUUCACUGAACAAUUUCUUGUAAACAUGAUAUCCACUAUCCAGCCAGAGGGCUGCGAUGAUCGUGAGAGUAUCCAAACUCAGAAAACUGUCCAAGUUUAACGUGAUUUCAAUAUAGUUCACUAUACCUUACUCAUUAAAGACAAAGUGUAUCUACCCUUGCACCUGAGUUAAAAUCUUUAUCUUCACCAGAAACUGAGUGAAUCAAGAAUAUUUGGUACAAAAUAAAGUGGAUAAUUCUCAUCCAUUGACACAUAAGAGGCAGAGACGCUGUUUUGAGUAGAGUAUUGAUGUUAGAAACAUGAUUGUAUAGCCUAUCAUCUGUUAUGGAUUGACAUUGGCCCUAGAAGAUUAUUGGUGCAGAGACCCCCUUUGUCUAACAGAGAACAGAGAAUUAUUAAGUGAUCAAUUUGUGCAGCUACCAGUUGAGUGUCCUUUUUCAUUAUUUUUUUUAGCUUCUAAACACGGUUGAAACUUAUAAAGAGUACAUAAAUUAGAACAUGAACCUCUCAUUUCCCAUUGAAAUGCCAUGUAAGGAAAAAUAAAGAACAGGGGAUGUUAUGAAUCAACCAGCAUGAGAUUGAUCUAGUCAUGGAAGGGCUAAGGAUUAUGAGAAGUAACUCUAACCACCAUUUUUUUACAAAAUAUUUACAUACAACAAGCUUCAUUGGAUUAAAUAUCAUAAAACUUGACCAUUGGUCGAGUGAGUUUACUCAAAGUACAAAAAUGAUGGCUCAUAAGAACGAGAUUGAUAGCUAGAAGGUGUUAUUCAGAAAAUAGUAAGGAAGGACGUCAAAGAGGAAAUGUGGCCUUCACCAAUUUUAUAGGCUACGGAAGAAAGCGCAUGACUAAGUUGACCAGAGGCUUCUAUUGGUGCUUUAAUUUGUAUUCCCCACACGCAAUUUUAUAUUAAAGAUAACGAAAUUCCAAUAAGAUUUUACAGGACAAAAAAGCAAAAGACACUUAUGCAAUAAGUAUGUUAAAAAAAAUACCUUGAAGAAAACCGGGCAUAAGAAGGAUGGCAUACACUGCAAGUGCAGUUAAUCGUACGACCCACCGGUACCCUACCCUGAACGAAAAGAAGGGAUCAUGAUACAGAGAGAGAGAGAGAGAGGAAGAGCCCAUUGAAAAAGCAAAACUAUAUUCAUUCCGUAAAGAUUUCAUGAUUAAUUUAAAAUUUUACCGAUCCUCCUGUUCGAAGAAAAGAAAUUAAUACAAUAAGAGAUUUCAUGAUUGAAGUGAUCCCCAGGAGAAGAAAGCAUGAAACUAUAAGCUAUGAUAUAAGAUCCUUUCCAUUAUAGAAAGAAAAUUUGGCAUCCUGUUAGGUAUUUGCAAAUUCUAAUUACAGGAAGAACCCGCCGCAAAUUAAGGAGAUAAUCCAACUCAUAGUCAGAACAGAGAGAUAGAGGGAUCGAAGUUACAUUCACCACUUAAUCAGAACAUUCAGGCUUUCAAGUAAUGGACAAAAAGAGAUAGAGAGCAGAGAGAAU
rnacentral:lncRNA from 1 species